rnacentral:lncRNA from 1 species
CCCCUUCUUCAUUCGAUGUGAGGUUAUUAUAGGCGCCGCAACUUCAACUUGUUUUUUGUUAUCCUUUUCUUCAAUAAAUAUGUUUUUUUUAAUUCUUACUUUAACCGAUCAAAUGCGAUGAAGAGAGACGAUCAUCGAUUGCGGAUAACUCUGCAACAUGAUCUCUUCCAUUCUUAUGGUUCGUAUUCACUGAGCAUCAUCACAACCUUUUUUUCUUUUCUUUUUUUCAAUUCUGUAUUUGUUCAAUCGAAGGUCCUAUGGAGGAAGCGCAAUAAAUCAGUGCGCAUUUCUUCAAGUUUGCUUUCGUAUAUUGAUUCGAGAUCUUAGAACAAACCAAGCGUUUUCAAUUAAUAUUCAUUUGGUUUUGUUCAACUUUUGAUUUUCGUACAGUCUUAUUUAUUAUGUUUUUUGAAUGCGAAGUUCCCAGCAGAGAGGUGAGCUACUCUUUAAUAUUGAGGCCUCUCUAACGAUUUAUUUCUAUAUUCUUCGCAAAUUUAUUUGCCGAAUCGUAGGAUGCCCAAAUAUAUUUGAUUCUUGGUUCAUCUGUAAAAUCGGCUAUAUCUCUAAAUUGAAAUUAAUUUGAUUUUUGUUCUUAUGUAAACUUAGUAGGAGGAAAAUAGUUUUGCGUAAUUAAAUGAAUUUGUUGCGAUUCCUUUUUAUUUAUAUUUUAAACUAUCUAAAUAAUCUUGUUAUAAUUAUAUCUCAUUCCAUCGAGCUAAUGUACUAUUUUUCAUCAAUUUAGAUAUAAACUAGUAAAAUGAGAUACUACGUAGUACAUAUAUCACUGAAGAUGUAUCUAUUACUAAAAAAUAGCCUAUGUUCUAAUGAUAUCAGCUCAUGGUGUAAUUAUUUCCUAAACCUCAAGAACAAGUAGGGUGUUCUUCUGCCCUAUUGAGAGAUAUAAAAAAUAGUGGUAAAUGGUGGUGAUGUAAAUUACAAUAAGUCUAACUUUUGGUUGUACUUUGUUUGGGUAAAUUCAUGUAUGAAUAUAAGAUGAAAAGUGAGAUACAAAGAUAUAAGCAAAGAAUGAACAAUGAGUAGGGAGAUUUGGGAGUGAAAAUAACUUGCAAAACAAAAAUUGCUAAUCCAAAUCUGUAGUUAAGUUUUAACAGUAAUAGCACUCUAUGUGUGGGGUUAGGUUAGGGGUCUAUUUGCAUAUCUCAGCUUGUCAUAUAAUUUUCGUCUAUAAAGUACUCUAAGUUGAUCCCGAAAAUUGGAGCCUCCAACUUGAUCCUUGAGUAAUAAUAUGAAUCUCAAUCUUGUUCUUUAAAUGUCUUGGAUUCCAUUCAAAAUAAAUCACAUGUUAGGUGUCCCUAAAAUUUGUUCUCUUUAGGUUGAAGUUUUGCAUGGACUUUGUAUUAAAUGAUAAUUAUCAAAACAAGAUUAAUCUAUAGAGUUUAAAACAAUGUUAUUAAAACUGGAUCGGUCAUCAAACCAGUGAGGGUAUUGGUUUAGUGGUUCAAUCAGUGGUUCAAUAAUUAAAUUGGUUAUAUUGGACAUACAUGCUUAUAUAUAUAUAUAUAUAUGUAUAAACCUGUAACAAAAAUUAUCUAUAUGUAGAUACUCAAAUUUAUAAUCCAUAUUUAUAGUCAAAGUAAGAAUUCUCAUAAAUAAAUACAAAUAGUAAUCUACAAGAACUUGUUUUACUUAACAAACUCAAAACGUAUGACGCAAGUUCAUAACUUAGUUUACAAAAUGUAUUAUAUAUUUAAAACUUUAACACCAAUGAGUCAAAGUUGUUUCAUAUUGAGGAUCUAUUUCUUUACAAUAUCAUUUUCUAAAUUUAGUACUCAAAACAUAUAUUUAAAACUUGUAACGCAAUUUAAAUUGUGCAUCAUCAUUAUCUUCUAAAUUUAAUUGAUCUACGACAAUAUCAUUUUUUCAUACAUCAAUUUUCAUACAAUUUAACAAUAAAAUAAAUUAGUUAUUUGAACCAAAAUUGACAAUGCAAGAAAAAACAUACCAAUGUCAUUAGAUGAGGGUUGGAUAGAAAUAUUUGCAAGGUCGUUUUGUAAGGCCUCAAUCUCUUCAUAAGAUAGGAAUGGUGGUGACUCCUCCAAUAUAAAAUGAGAAUGAUCCUCAAAUGUUUCUAAAUUAAUUGGGUCAUAAUUUUGAUAUUUUAAGUGAUUCCUGCAUUUAUUGAUUUAGUCAUAUAUACAUAUAUAGAUAGAUACAUGUAAAUAAAACAUUUGAGUUCAUAUAUAUAUUUUGGUUAAUACCUUUGUUGUAGCGAACAAAGACAAGAUCAUUCAGUUUUUGAUGCUCCAACCUAUUUCUUUUAUUUGUAUGAAUGUGUUCAAACACACUCCAAUCCUGUUCACAUCGAGAAGUACUGCAUGUAUGACUUAGAACUCGAACUGCUAGUUUUUGCAAAUUUGGUGCACGACAUCCAUAAGUUUCCCACCAUUAAUCUACAUUGCAUGUAAUUUAAAUUUACUUAACCAUAAUGAAAGGAAAUAAUAAAAACUAAAUAAAAUUAUCAACUAUGAGAGUCUAAUUAUACCUGACAUCACUUUACUUCGUUCACGUAUUGCAGCUGGCAUUCCAAAAUCUAACUCAACAUUUUUGUAUAUUCUCAUCUCACUUGUUAGCUUAUUUAGUAAAUCAGAAUCACCAUAAGCAUACUUCUCAAUCACAUCCAAAAGGCCAGAUGUUGUGAACUUAUGUUUUUCAAAUUCUUCAACAUUGAAGAAACAAUUUGGGUUUAGCCAAUAACCAACAGCAUGAUGAUUUCUUUUCAAUUGCAAGUCCCAACAACUAUCCAUAAUAUCCAAAUAAGGCUUCACUUUAGUCUUGUUUCUUUGAAACCUCCUCUCCAUCUCAUGUCUAGCUUUAAAGAUUGUUUGAUAAAGAAAACCCAUCGCAGGCUUAUCCUCACUAUCAACAAUAUGUAACACGCGAACAAGCAGCUCGGUAAGUUUGACAAUAUCAGCAUAUUGUUCCAAAAGUUUGAAUCUAAUACUUCUUCCACAUAUUUUUUUUUGCCUUAGCAUCUUUAGAGUAAGUUGAGCUUGUCCAUUCUCUAGAUGUUACCAGAGAUCUAAGUGCAUCUUUUUGCGCCAAGAUACUUUGUAAUGCUAUGAAAUUAGUAGCAAAGCGAGUUGGAGCUGGACGAAGUAUUUCUUUUCCAUGAGUGUAUUGUCUCAUUAGAAAUAAUGGAUGACAAUGAUUAUAUAAGUAUUUGGUAAUGUUUGCAGCAUGUGAUACCGUCUCAGCUACUUCUGGUAACUUUCCAAUGUCUUGCAUCAUCAAAUUUAUACAAUGAGCCGCACAUGGAGACCAAAACAGGUUAGGGGACCCUUUCUCCAUUAACCUACCAGCAACAACAUAAUUAGCAGCAUUGUCUGUAACAAUAUGAACAAUGUUCUCAGCGCCAACAUAUAGAACUACUUCCUUAAAAAGUAUGAAUAACAAAUCUGCAGUUUUAGAAGCAUGAGAAACAUCAACAUACUUUAGGAACACAGUUCCUUUAGGACAGUAGAUGAGAAAAUUAAUGAGGGUACGUCUAUUACGAUCGGUCCAACCAUCUGUCAUAAGAGUGCAUCCAGUUUUCCCCCAAAUCGAUUGAUAAUCACUGACAAGUAUUUUCACAUCUUCAACUCACUUGUUUAAUAAAUGACCACGAACACGAUAAAAGUUUGGAGCUUUAUAACCUGGAUUCAUGUUACAAAUCGCAUCAAUCAUGGGUUGAUAGUAUGCUGAGUUAACAACAUUGAAUGGCACAGAAGCAUCAAUCAUCCAUUUUGAUAUUGCUAGGUCACAUUUCUCAAUCAUUUCCUUAGUUUGCAACACACUUUUUAAAAUAGGUUGAGCACCAAGAGUUGUUAUAGGCAUGAAGAAAGAGCCUAUGUGACCUUUCCCCUUUCAAUUGGUUGAGUGUGCAAUAAAUCAUUGACUUCAUCUCAAGGAUUACUAUCCUCAUAUUCCUCUUCUAUUCUCCUUUUCUUAUUCUUGAUUUCAUCAAUUGAUUUCUGUAUUUGGUGUUGAAUAUCUGCUAACACUUUCUUGCACUUUUCAACUUGUCCUUUUAUUCCGGCCAAAUGAGCCUUAAACCGACUGAUGCCCCCCCUUUAAUCUAUUGCAUGCAAAAAGAAGAAAAAGUAGUAAGUAUUUGACAAGGAUCAUCUAGAAUGACAAGGAUCAUAUCCUCCUUUAUCCUAUCACAAAUAAGUUUAGCCCUUCCAUCUACACCCUCCUCAUCAAAUUGCAAAAAAAUGCUUCCAAACUCUCUCUAAGUUUUCUUCAGGUUUAGUUUCUCUGUGACACUUGCCAUCACAAUUACAUCAAACAAGUUAUCUAGUAGUCUUUUCUCACCUUAAAAAAUGAUACAUGUUUGCCUAAUUUGGUGUGUAGGUGUACACAAUAAAGAGUAAAAUCAAGGAGAAUGCAAAAUCUGGUAUACCUCAAUGGCCAAAAGAAAGACCAGUUAUAUAUACAAGAUGCAGGAUAUUGUCCAAGGCAUUUACCAUUUCUUUCACAUUUGUUGUUAAUUAUUGUGACAUGGUUUAAUGUUCUAUAACUGAUGCAAGCUUGCUAGGAAAGGAACUAAGGAAGUACCAAAUGUGCAAAAAGAAGAAAAAAUAGUAAGUAAUUGAACUAACAGUACACUUGAAAAGAAAAUCAAUGAUAUUAGAGGAAAAGUUAACAAGUAACCUGUUUCAUGCAAAAAAGACACAAUAGAAUCGUUCUUCCAUUAUCCACAAUAACUUGUUUGCAAUGCGCCCAAGCUGGAUCUGAUUUCCCCCUAUAACUACUUGUAGAAGUAUUUUCUAUUGAUGUUUCUUGUGAUGUUGGUAAUUCAGGUUCAGUAGAUGUCAUCUAUUUCUAUAACAUGAGCAAUUAAAAACAAUUCCAUUAUAACUUGUGAUGUGUCUAUUGUUGAAUAUAUGAAUGUCUAAUAAUAUAAGUAAUACUCUUGAUUAACACAUGCUAAUUGGGAACGAUUAACCCAUAAACACAUGCUAAUUAAGGAAAACGUAGAGACCCACUUAAAAUUAUCCACACCAAACUCACAAGGGCUUAAAGUUCUAACUGAAUUCAUGAUGGUGAUAUAUAUUAUGUCAUGUGAUAAGAGAAAUACUCAUGAGCCAUAAUUAGCAUUAAUGUUUUUUUCUUCAAUUUAUCUAAAAUGUUGAAGGAAAAUAUCAAGAAUUAGGAAAUACUUUCCAAUUGGAAUCUCAAGAAUUAACUUUAAACAACAAGCAGAAGGGUUUAAACGGCAAUCAGAAGUGAAUUAAACAAGUGGGUAAGAACUGAAGCUAAAUAUAACAAUUUCAAUGCAUAAAUCUGUACAAUCGUACAUGAGAAGAGAAGAAUGAAGCUUGGAACUUUGAUGGUGAAGGAAGGAAGUGCGGAAGUGAGAUGUUGGAGAACUAAAGAAGAAAGGGGAUUAAGAAGAAAAGGGAGGGGAUUAAGAAGUGAGAAGGAAGGAAGGGUUUGUUUGUGUGAAUGAAGAAAAGGGGUUUCUAAUUCUAUGUGGUAUGUGCCUAUGUGGGGUUCUUUAAAAUUACAUGUAUGAACCGACCGGUUCAAUCAAAUUUUGGCCGGUUCACCGGUUUUGACACGGUUCACUGGGUUUUCUCCGGUUUACACCGGUUGUGAUGCUUAGCCGACAUAACAUUUGUUUCGUACCGGUUGGCCGGUUUUCCGGUCGAACCGGCCGGUCCGAUCCGGUUUUUACAUCAUGGGUUUAAAAUGUGUAGAUUGUCGGUAAAAACUUGUUUUAGACAAACGCCCAAUUAAAAUUUGCCAUUUCAAACUUUUUUGCCACAUCAUAAUGAAAAUUAGAAAAUAAAAAUAAUUUUUUUCCAAUGAUUCAUUGUCUCUUUCCAGAACCUCUUUUUCUCUUUCCAACUACCUUUUCACCUUUUCAACUCAUUUUAUUUUCACAUCCUCAAUUCUAUGGUUUCUUUGCUUGUUCGUCUUCUUUGUCUUCGUUUUACACAACCUUUUUUGUACCUUCCUUUUUCUAGUGCCCUCUUUGCUCUUAUUAAUUAAUCUUCCAAAUUGUUCUAAAAUGUUUCCCACCAUAUACUCCUGCAUCUGAAUGGCAAUUACUCAUUUUUUUCCAAUUUCACAGUAAACUCAAUUCAAUCUCAAGUGGGUAACCAUUUUUAUUGUUACUUUUUACACUCAGUGUUAAGAUAAUUGAGUUUUUGUUAGUCGGUUAGUUAAUUUGGUUAGGGUAGUUAGUGUUAUCUUCCCUUUAUAUAGAUGAUUCAAUGUAACUUUGGAAUUCAAUUCAAUUCAAUAACAUUUUCUCAUUAUUUCUUGUUCAUCAAGAAUCUCUCUUAUCCAUGCCUACUGCCAUUUUAACAUGGUAUCAGAGCGUAAUUAAUCUUUUGAUAGCUUCCGCUUAUGGUUCCAUGAAGGAUUUCAUGGAAAACUUCAACAAUCAAGAACAUGGUGGUGCUUUCUUUUUCAUCUCAAUGGCUUUCAUGAGUGUUAUCUUGCUUCCAAUAGGUGGCAAUGCUGAAUGUGGCAAGACUAUCUUGAUUUCUUUGAUUGCUCCAACGUUGGUUCUUCAACAUCCAAUGUUACUUUUCAACAUAUGGACUUAAAUUCUUCAUUAUCACCUUGUUCAUCGACCUUCACAUUCAAAUUAAAGGGGUUUGUUUUUGGUCAAGAAUUUUUUGAAGUACAUAAGCUAACUUCUUGAUAUUCUUUUUCAAGCAUGUCUCCUACCAUUUUAACAUGGUAUCAGAGCUCUUCAAGAAUGGAAUACCAUGACCAAUCUAGCAUAUACAAGAUUACAUCCUUUUCUUAUUCUUCAACUUUUACCCCUCUUUUCUUUUUCUUAUUCAUCAUUGAAGCAUCUCAUUAGGAUCAACAUUCUGAUUCAUUCUCUCUCUUUCAUCAUCAACGGUUAGUUCGCUUCUGUCCAUGAUGGUUAAGCUCAUAUAUAAGUUCUGUCAUGGAUGGUUAAGCAUUGGAUGGGUAGCUUCUAUCCAUAAUGCUUAAGCAAAGAUAUAGCUUCUGCUAUGGAUGAUUAAGCGUUUGAUGAUAUAGCUUCUUCUAUGAGUGGUUAAGUGUUGUUAUUACUUCAAAAUCAAGCUUCAAAUCAAUUCCAAGAUGGAGAGUGAAAAUUUUCACUCACCAGCUUGAGGGAGAUAUUAAAGAUAUAUGAUAGGUUAUUUUGGAAGAUAUAGUUGGUUAGAAAGUUAGGAAUUAGCAAGUUAGAUUUAUGUUAGUUACAUGUUUUACAAGCUUUAUUUUCUUCUUUUCUAUUGUAUAAAUAAACCAUAUUGACUCGCUUCUUAUUCAAUCAAUUCAACUCAUUCAAUUUUGUAAUGAGAAUUCAAUCAUUCAAUGAGAAUAUUAUCAAUCUUUGUUUCUCAUUUUUCUUUCUUUAAGCUUUCUUUUAUACACUUCUUGAUUCAUCAAGAAACUUUCUUUUCAUGGCUCUUAUCAUAUUUUAACAUGGUAUUAGAGCUAAUUAUUUCUCUUUGAUUGCUUCCGCUUAUCAUUCUUCAAUUCCAAGAUUCAUCCUUAUCACCCAAUACAUCCUUUAUCACCUUGCACAGACCUUCACAUUUUUCCUUAAGUUCUUCUAGUUGCUUCUUUUCAUCUCCAGUCUCUUCGAGUGGAAAUAAUGGUCAACUUCCAAAUGAAAGUCCAAAGAAUGUUCCACCAUUUGCAUCCAUUGGCAAUGCUACAAUGUAGAUUGAUCGUGCUUCUAGAAAGAUUGGUUCUUUGAAAUUGUAAUUUAUUUUUGAAUGGAUGACACUAAAGAUGAUGAUACAAGAUAUCUCCCCCAGGCUAAGAUAUCUUCUCUACACGUUAUUUGAUUCUAUGACUCAGAACAAUAGUUAUGUUGUUUUAAUAUGAUCAAAGCAAUAUGAUGUUACUGCAAGAACUUGUUAUAUUUGUCAAGAAGGGGAAGUCUAACAACUUGAAGAAGAUAGGGAAGACCAAGAACAACAUCAAGAAACAAGAAUACCAUGCAACAGUGUGUGCCUAACCAUGCACAGUGGCCGAUCAUCAAAUUAAGGAAGCUAUAUCAUAUUCUUUCAUCUAUUAUCCCCAAUUAUUUCUCAUUUCUUUAUUACUCUAGUUUCUUUACCCCUCUCUCUUAUUAAACACACAACAUUAUAGUGUGUAAUUUUUUUCCUCAUUGAAGCAACAUAUAAGGAUCAAGAUUAAGGUCCAUCUCUUUUCUCUCUUUCAUUCGUUAUGAUUGGUUUGCUUCUGCCAAAUAGAUGCUUAAGCAUUAGAUGAAAUUGCUUCUGCCAAAUGGUGGUUAAGCGUCAGUAUUGCGUCACGUUCAGAUUUCAAGACUGGGAGACGAAGAUUCGCUCACCAGCAAGAGGAGGUAUUAGAGUAUAUCAUCGUAUUCAACACAAUUAUUUCAAGCUUGGAAUGCUUGAUACAUUCCAGCUUGCGGGGGAAUGUAAAAAAGUUGAGUUUUUGUUAAUCGGUUAGUUAAUUUGGUUAGGGUAGUUAGUGUUUUCUUCCCUUUAUAUAGAUGAUUCAAUGUAACUUUGGAAUUCAAUUCAAUUCAAUAAUAUUUUCUCAUUCUUUCUUGUUCAUCAAAAAUCUCUCUUAUCCAUGCCUACUACCAUUUUAACACUCACUGAUAAUCUUCCUUCUAUUGUUACUUUUUCAUUUGUGUAAAACGAAAUUGAUAUUAUUGUAACUUAGUUGUGGUGAUAGGUGAAAAUAAUGAAUGUGCAAGCAAAAUUGAAAUUUUCACAAGAGUUACUUCGUACAAUUCUGGUAGUUUUGUUUUAGUUUUUUGUCAAAAUAUACUCUUCUUUCAUAUUGAACUAAUGUGUUUGUAACAGACACAGGAAAUAUCAUGAAGAAAGCAGGGUCUGUUACUAAUUUUUCUUACAUUUAUUCAAUUAUUUUUACUAUAUCCUUUCAAAACAUCCUCCUAAUAAUAAUUCUACAAGUAAUAAUUCCAGUCAAGUGCACCUAAUAUUUUGGGCACAACAAAAGCACAAAAUCCUUAUUGUCAUGCUUGUUUAUUUUGGAUAUAUAUACUUUGAAGUUUGAGGUAAAUAUAAAGCCUUAACUUUGCAAAUUGUUAAAGCAAUGCAACUAAGAAACUAUAAUUGUGAGUCUCACUACUCUUGAUCAUUAACAUAGUUUUAGGGGCAUGUAUAUUAACUGUUUGGUUUUAUAAAGUAGUUUUCAAUGUUAACCUUGCACUUUGUUGAGUUACUUAAAAAAGUUUUAUAAAGUAACCUGAUUGUAUUGCAGGUUUUUUAAGGGGAGUUAUUUUAUUGAAGAUUUUCUAUAAUGACAUUUUGAAGGUACAAAGAAUUGAAGAUCGUAUAACUUUUGUACUUCCUAUGUUCACCAUUAGUCACAUGAUUUGAGAAAGCAGAAGCGAACCACAAUAACACAACAUCCCUUUAAGGUCGGAAAACAUGCUCAAUUGACUCCUCAACCUCACCACAAAAAGGAGAGAUUUAUGGUUAUACAAAUUAGUAUUGAAAUGUAACUUAGAUUUGAGAUUUUACAAACAACAUUGAGUAUGUAAUAUAACAAUUAGAAUGUUGUUUUAAAGCCAUUAUGUAGAGAAUUCAUAAUCUAUUAUUUUGGUUAAUGCCAUUUGUCAUGAAAUAAGAUACUUGACAUACCCAAUCUCUGGCCCAGACAGUAAAAGGUUAACACUAAAAUAUACGAUGAAUGCCAUUUGUCAUGAUAAUAAACUCAAUCUCUGGCCAAGAAUAUGACCACAUGUCAACACAAAACUUAAGUUCAAAUAAGAUACUUGACAAACCCACCUAUAGCAUCUAGAAACACAUGUGCAAGCAAGAAUAUGAACACUAGUAUCAUGCUCAAAAUUCUGUACAAUUUUAAAAAGUUUGGAUGAAACAUAAAGUGUUUAUACAACACUUACUUGUCUUAUCACUAUUACAUAGAUUAUUUUAAUCAUGUUUAUCAUAAUAAAGGUGUAUUACAUAGAAGAUGUUUCCACAUUUGCAGCUAAAACCAGUUAAUCAAACACAUUUUUUAAGCAAAAAUCUCAACAUAUCAUGCUUCAACAGUUUGUCAUAUUCCUACAUUACUAAUCUCCUUUAUAUUUGCUACUCCAACUUUCAUUUCUUCAUACAUUUGAUGCAAAUAGAUUACUAAUCUCAUGUUUUUCUUCUACAGUCACUCAUCCACCUUAGUUUUGACAUCACCAUUGACCUUCAUAUGAAAAAGACAUUGUUAAUAAUGUGUAUUGAUAUACUCUUCAAUCUAAAUAAAAAGGUAAUGUUGUUACCUUUGAAUCAACAAAAAUAUAAACCUUUAGCAUUGGAAUUUGCAAAUUGACCAUUAACAAUGUUACACCUAAAAAACAUAGUGUUACACACAUUCAACUUAAUAUAGAAAAAAAGAAUAAAAACUAAUGGAUUGAUGUGUCAUUAGCAAAAUACCUUGUUUGGUUUAAACUUGGACAUUUAGGUUUUUUGUGACCUUUCUUCUUACAAUUACUACAGACAAAGGAGCCUUUCUUGAGCAAUUCCAAGCUACCUUUCAUUCGCAAAGUUCGUGGGCGCCCUUUAGUUGCCACAAUUGGAGGAUCACACAAUGUUAUAGCAUUAUUUAAAUCUUUUAGGAUAAUUUGGUUUGUAAGAUUACCAAAAUCUUCCUUUGAUUCUUCCACUUCCAACUGAUCCAGAUCUGCAAUUAAUUUUUGCAUACCUUGAAUUCCAAUGUCAUGAUGCUUUUCUGACCGUGAAGCUCUUUUAGAUAGUUCAAGAGAGUGAACCAUAACAUUGUUAAAUAGUAAAGUACUAGUAGCUUUGUUUCUUCCCUCUUGGAAUUCUACACUUUUCAAUCCUUGAACAUUCUCCUUCUUAGCAUUAAGAGUCCAUUAAUGUAGAAUAUAUUGUGAAGGCAAAGAAUAUAUUCUUUUCCUUAUGAACACGUCCAAUAUAUGUCUACAAAGAAUACCUAGAAAUUCAAAUUUGUGACAACUACAAUAUGCUUCCUUUGAAAUAACAUGAAAAGACACAUAAUAAUUAGGCCCUUCUUGGUAGAUUCCAUGUACCUUGUAUGUCGACAAAUCAUUUGAAAAUUCAACUUUCUCUACAAUAAAGAUUUGGGAGCCAACCAACUCAUCUUGAAAUAUCCUAAACAAUUUUCGUGUAUAAGUUUUCGAAGCUUCUUCUUCCAUUGGAUAUAAAGUUCGCAAAACUGGUUUUGAAUUAACUGACUUGAAAGUCUUUUCUCUUUCCUUAUUGUAUCAUGCACCAAUAGCCUUUUCAUAUUGUCCCACAAACUUGCUUAGUGAAGUACUUGAAUUCAAAAAAUCCUUAAAGAACUUAUUCAUACUUUCACUCCUUUGGAUGGUAGACAUUCCAGCACAAAAACUAUGACGUAUAUAAGCAUGAAUCCAUUUUUCUCGAAUGCUGUAUGUUUUUUCCUGCCAUCCAUUAUCGUGCAAUUGAUACUUAUCAAUCAUUGCUCCCCAAUCAGACUCAAAAUCUUCAAUAGUAACAGAUUGGUGAAUGCACUUAUAGAAUUGGUUUUUAAAUUCACCAUGUUCAUUAUAAAUAUGACUCAAACACUAUGGAACUUUUUUCUCAAUAUGCCACAUACAAUAAUGAUGAAUAACAUCUGAAAACACCCUUGCCACUGCAUUAGUGAUAGCAGUAUCUUGGUAUGUGAUAAUUGAUUUAGGACGAACUCCAGACGUUGCUUCUAACCAAGUAUUUAAUAACCAAACAAAACUUUCUUCAGUUUCAUCCUAUAAUAAUGCACAACAAAAAAGAAUUGAUUGUUGAUGAUGGUUAACUCCAGUGAAUGGAACAAAAUGCAUCUUGUAUCUAUUGGUUAAAUAUGUAGGAUCAAAAGUCACUACAUCACCAAAAUACUUGUAAGUCAUUCUAGAUCUUGAAUCAACCCAAAAGUAAUUUGCCAAUUGUCCAUCAACGUCCAUUUGAAAAGCAUAAAAAAAUCCAGGAUUCUUCAAUUGACAAUUCUGAAAAUACAACAACAUUAAUGGAGCAUCACCUUUCUCUAACUGUUUUUGCCUCUUUCCACUUAAGUAAGUGAUAACAUCUUGUUGGUCAAAUCCAACAUUAUCAAUACCACCACUUUCAACAUAUAGUACUUAAGCUAUUUUGAUAGGGGGAAAACCAGAAUUAUCAAGUACAUCAAUAAGUUUCUUUUGCACUUUAGUUUUCUUUUUGUGCACUCGGAGAAACUGUGAACUUCUUGGGGAAAAAAGUUGGUGAUUAUGGUCUCUUACAAAUCUGGAAAUAAUCCAUGUUUCUUAUUUUUUUUCUUUACAUAUGUCAUUGCCUUGCAUCCUACUUUUGUUUCAUCACGUGGUGCAUAUAUUUUAUUUUCAUUUUUCGCAUAUUUUUUGCCUUAAAUCCCUCCUUUGAAAAGAGCAUCUCUUGGCCAAUUACUAUAUCAUUCGUUAAUAAUACGACCCAUUUGAAAGCUAAAACCUUUUUUCUUUGCAUAACUUACAUAAAAAUUCUUUGCAUCUUCAAUUGAUGUGAACUCUAUUCCUUCAUAGGGCUCUAAGGGAGGCUCUGGUGGUAACUCAAUGUUGGCAUUGUCCAUCUUUAGAACAUCUCCUUCAUAGUUGAUAAUGGUAGAAUCUUCAAGUAUAUUUCUCAUCUUAAUUCUUAUCUUCAAAAAAGGUAAAAUUGUUAGUAUGAGUAUUAAUAAAAUUAUGUUAAUAGUGAAUAAUGAAUAUUUUCAAAGAGAAGAUGGAGUAAAAAAUGCACCUAAAAAAGGAAGAAAAAUAAAAAAAAUGUGAGAGAAAGUUGAGAAUGUGAAAUUGAGUUGAGAUUAAGGAUUGAGUCUGUGGUGUAAUUAAGGAUUGAGUUUACCCACUUGAUAUUAAGGAUUGAGUUUGCAGUGAAAUUGGAAAAAAAUGAGUAAUUCCUAUUCAAAUGUAGGAGUAUAUGGUGGGAAACAUUUUAGAACAUUUUGGAAGAUUAACAAGAGUAAAGAGGGCACUAGAAAAAGGAAGGUGCAAAAAAGGUUGUGUAAAACGAAGACAAGGAAGACACACGAGCAAAGGAGCUAGAGAGUUGAGGAUGUGAAAAUAAAAUGAGUUGAGAAGGUGAAAAGGUAUCUGGAAAGAGAAGAAGAGGUUCUGGAAAGAAAGAAGGAGUUAUUGAUGAAUUUUUAAUUUUUCUUUUUUUAAUUUUCAUUUUUAUGUGGUAAAAAAGUUUGAAAUGACAAAUUUUAAUUGGACGUCUGUGUAAAACAAGUUUACACUGACAGUCUACACAUUUAAAACUCUAAUAUAUAAGAGGAGGGAUCCACUUCCUCCAAGAGUAAGUGUAUUUCUCCCUAUAUAAUAAUUAAUCUAAGGUAUGAUUCUUGUGAACUUAGGAAUGAUAAUUAUACUUUGAAAGAGAUGAGUUUUUUUAUCCAUAAAGUGAGUAGAUACUAUUGAUAGUUCAAAAAAAAAAUGAUAAACUAUUGUAACAGUAUUAGUGCAACUUGUUUAUUGUUUUUAAAUGAAUUACACAUCUUAUUUUAUAAUUUUUUACAUUUCUUGAUAAGUUAAGCAUUUUUUCCUUCUUUUUACUCCAACAGUCCAACCCAGAUUUUGUACUUAAAUGGCCCCACAAUUAAGAAUGUCUAUUUUUUAUUUUUUAUAGUGUCCACUCAUGUGAGUAUUGUUAAAUAUCUAAAUGUCUAAUUUCUACUUUUAACCUUGUUUAUUGAAGCAAAUGUUGUUAAAUUUCUACUUUUUACUUUUAACAACGAUGACUCAAGUGAACGUUGUUAAAUGUCUACUUUUAACAAUGAUCACUUAAGUAAGUGUUGUUAAAUGUCUACUUUCAACGACAUUUAUUCAGACAUAUCAUGUUAUGACUAAUUUCAAGUUUCAAUAGUGUUCUUUCAAACGAGUAAGGUUAAAUAUCUACUUUUAACAAUGCUCACUCAAACGAGUAUGGUUAAAUGUCUAUGUUGAAGUUUUGAUCUAAAAAUCACUUUAUGUGAAUAUGAAGAAAGUAAAAUCAUUUUUUAUUUUUUUAUUAUUUUUAAGGCUUUGUAGAAAUAAAAAUUUAAAAACUAUAUUCUAAUUAGAAAAUAAUCCUCUAGUUAUGGACAAAAACAUAUCACUUUUACAAAAUUUAUGGACAGUCCAUUUUUUUAUAAGGAUGACCACAAGAGAUGCUCUAAAAUUGGAAGUUUAAACUAAUGGUCAUACUGUUACUAUUAAUGGCAUCUCAAAAUUCAAAUCAGAACCAACAAUUUCAAAAUAAGAAAAUGGGAUGGUGAAUUAGAAGCAUAUUCUUGAUAGUUAUCAUGAUCUGUUCUAAACAUUAGAUUCACAAUAGAAUCUUACUCAAAAGAAGUUUCUUUUACCUUUUCAUAGAUUCAAAUGAAUGCAGAAAUCACCCCAAAGUUCUGUAAUAAACGUGUAAUAUCUUGCAAAUAUGGCACUAUUUCGUUCCUAUAUUGUUACUAUAUCUCGUGCCUCAAUUUUCGGCUGCACGACUUUUUUAGAGUCACCAUUACAUUUUAUAGUUAAAAAUGUUGAAAAAUCUUUUAAGCCUAAUUACACUGAGCUUUGGAUUUUUGAUAUCCAGGUUUAGUAGUCAGUUAAAAGGUAGGGAAUGUAUUAGCAUCCUACCCGUCCGUCUUAAGCGAUACCCUUCAUUAAAUUAUAUGACUUUAUUAUAUUUUUAUAUUUAUUUGGUUAUUUAAUUAAUUACUAAAAGGAACAAAUUUAUUUAUUUUUUAUAAUCGUGCUUGACAAGACGAACCUUCAUCCUACGCAUCCCUCUGUUAGAUAGGGAAUCAAGGCUACUUAGUUCUUUAGUAGAAAAACAUUUGUUGGUUGUGUAUUUUAAUUAAGGACGGAAGUGGUGUAGCGUGAUCAUCCGGAGGAUGAGUUGAGAAGAAAGAAGCCCCAAGGCGAUCGUCUCUCCAUCCAUUAUGUGGUUGGCAAAUUUUAUUUCUUGUGAAAAAUAUUUAUUUUGAUGUUUAUUUAUUAGUGAAAAAAUGUAUUAAUUGAUUGUUAAUUUAAUUGAAAAUGGUUUAUUUUGGGAUUUUGAGAAUUAAUCGAGUGAAAGGAAGCGGCGUAGCUCGAACUUUCGAAGAUGAAUUGAGAAAAAAGAAGCCUCCAAGGCGACUUUCUCUCUAUCUUUGAUUAAUUCUUAAAUUUAUUUCAUUUUUGAAAAAUACUUAUAAUAAUGCUGUCAUAUUUUAGUUAUUUAAAAAAUGUUCAAAUUUUUGUUAAUCAUAAUUCUAAGACUUUUUAUAAGUUUUCAAAGAAAUUUGGAUAAUUGGUGGAUAUAUAAGAAUGAUUUUUUGUUUUGCAAUUUUACCAUGUUAAGAUGUGUUUUUAUUAAUAGUCAUUUUGAUUUUUUAGUCACUUUAGAUUAUUUACUAAUAACACUUGAUGAUUUAUUAUAAAAAUAAAAUGAAAAAAUAAAAAAAUCAGUUGCUAAAAAUAAUGAAACCAAAAUAAUUUUGAUGAUUCUUUUUAUCCAACAUGAUAGGGAUUUUUUAGUUUGUGAUGUAUGUUUAUGAUUUAAAAAAUAUAGUUUAACAUAAAUCAGUUUUAUUUAUUUCACAUACAGUAUAAUAAAUAAAACAUUUAUAUAGAUUUAAAAAAUUAUUUUUACAAAUUUAAUAUUAAUAUUAUAAUAUCACAAAGUGAUGAAUUAGUAAAUAGAAAUAAACCUAAUUACAAAAGGAUGAAUUUUUACACUGUGGAGAACCAAAUCACGUGUGGGAGUCUGGAAAAGCAACAGACACGUGGCAGGCGAUGUUUGGGUGAACAUUGUGCGAUGGUUGCACCUAGACAUGUGGUGCGGCGUAGUUGGACGAAUGGGAGGGUACACGGAACUGAGGCGGAGACCUUUGUGUUGGAGAUUCCGCGCACUCACUAGCCCAGGUAUCUAGUGUGGCGCGACACACUACAACUAGGAUGUGUUUCGUCCUAGGAUUGGCCAACUUCCAAUCAAAGGAACUGCAGGUCAAGGUAAGCAUAUGCAGAUCCCACGAUCAGGAUGGAUGAGAAACACGAGUGCACGAUGCUAUUAUGCACACAACCACACUGGGUCACUUGGCUCAAAAAAAUUUCUCCCUCUCACAGUGGUGGCAAACUUUUUGGCAGAGGUUUCUUAGGUUUUUCAGUGUUGCCAAUGCUUUCAGUGUUUUCAAUGUCAUUUUUUAUCAAUCUCAACACCUCUAUUUAUAGUAAAAAUUAUACAAUAAUUACCUAAAAUUAAGAUUUUUAAAGUUUGAUUUGAUAAACAUGAUUGCACAUAUUAAGGAAUUUUAAUGAAACAGAUAUAACUCUCUCUUUUAUUAUUUUAUUUAAUUUUUUAAAACUUGAAAAUAGAUGCCUUGUAUAUUGUUUUUUCUUUGUUUUUUCCUUACUUUCAUAAAUCCAAAAAUUAAUAUAAAAUCAACAAAAAAUAGUUUUAUUUAUUUUUAUAUUUAUUUAAUAUUUUUAUUUCGAAAAUAUUAUUUUUUAUUAUUUUUUUGAAUUUUGGUUAACCUAGUCACAUAGAUUUAGCAACCUUAACAACAUUGAUUUAUUAUUUUUUUUCAAUUUUUCGGUUAACUAAAUCACUUAGAUUUAGGAAUCUUAACAACAUUGAUUUAUUAUUUUUUCAAUUUUUCGAUUAACUUAAUCACUUAGAUUUAGAAACCUUAACAACAUUGAUUAUGUUUUAUUAUUUUUUGAAUUUUUGAUUAACCUAAUCACUUAGAUUUAGGAACCUUAACAAUGUUGAUUUGAGUUUCAUAUUUAAUAUUACUUGUUUAAUUUUUUUGAAAAAUAUUUUGGACUUUUUCUGGGCUGAACAAAAAAUGGGUGUUCAUACUAUAUAUUCGUCAUGACACACUUCAUACGUUACAAUGAAGCUCCAAUUUCCAAUUCAACAGAAUAAAGCUCCUUUUCAAUCUUCAAUAUAAUCCUCUUUCCUUUUUUCCCAAUCCUACACCAACAUCAAAGUUAGCCAAUGGUGCUUUAUCUUUUUUUUAUACUUAUAAAAGCAUUUCCUUAUUUUUUUGUGUAAAAAAAUAAAUUAAAUCUGAGAUUUAGCGGUUACUUCUUAGAUUCAACGUCUUGUUCUUCAUCUUCUACAUUCUCUCCACUUCUCAGAUUCUCACUCUCAACAUAGCUAUCACUAACAUGAUCAUUGGUCAAUUCAGUUUCAACACCAUUUUCCCAUCUUUUACAACAAUGAAGGAGCUUUUCUAUGCAUCAAUCUCAAAUUAUUGGAAGUGUUUUAUGAUUUGUUGGAACUUGGAUGUUUCUUAAAUGAGAAUUGGGAGAUUGGAUGGAAAGGAAGAAGUGGAAAUUGGACUCGCGUCCAUGGUUGCAGGCAGCUAAUAUUAGCGACAUAAGUGUGAAAAAACCAUCAUUCCAUCUAAGACCCUAAUGAUAGUUGCAUUUGUCGCCAAAGUUGUUUGCUAUGACAUUGCAACCACUUGCCAAUGUCGUUUCCCGUGACAUUCCAACUACGGCGAUAACUACACUUUUAAAAUAAACUUGUAGCUUAACAUUUUCUUUCAAAUUUUUUAAAAUGUUUCUCACAAAUUUUCAUAUUAGAGAAAAUGAUUGUUUUUAUAUUGUCUCUAUAUUCAUUUAUAAGUUAUUUUAUUACUUAUUCAUAUGAACUUAAAUUUUAAAUAAAAUAAUUAUUACUCUUAAAUUUAUGAAAAGGUAUGUGAAUAUUCCAAAGGUACCCUAAAAAUUAUCUAAUAGUCAUGAACUGAAAAGUAAAAUGGUUUAGUAGAGUAUGGACAUAUUAUAACCAAUGGAGUUGGUUGCAGAAAAUAUUGAUUCUUGAAAAAUAAAAUAUCUUUUUUGUCUCCGUAUUCAUAUUCUUUGCUUACUAAUUGUCUUCGUUUUAGGAGGAAAAUGUUAAUAUCGUCCAACUGUGAAAGAUGCAACACUACAAUUGAGGAUAUGCUCCACACCUCUAGAGAUUGUGGGAAUUCAACCCUCAUUUGACAUCGUCUUGGAUUCAACUAGCAAACCUUCUGGAUAAACCAAUUCUUCAUGUCUUAGAUGACAACUCAUGUUAGACUCUCCAACGAGCAUCUAUUCUUAGCACACAUUGUAACACCGUGUUUUUCAGAGCACUUUUAAUUAAGUAAUUAAUAUUAAUGGAUUAAUUAUAGAAAUUAAUCAAUAAUGUUUUAGGCUAAACCUAAGUUGAUUUUUAGUCUUGUAUUAUAAUUUUAUUGCUUUCCCUAUUUUCUCAAUAUUUUUGGAGAAUAAAAGUUUCCGAGACGAUUUUGGGUCGUUUUAUCGAGUUUUCGCCCAGGUUUUGAGUUCCAUAACUCGGAAUUGAAUUCCGAUUUCUCUGUUGGCUUCGAAAUAUUAUUUCUAGUCACAAUAGACACCAAAUUUGUCCCUAACACAUCUCUAGAUAUUUUUCACCUCGAAAUUCAAGUUUUGACGUUCCGGGCAAAUGUCCUAAAUCGGGAGAUUGUAUAUUUCCGGACGAAAUUAUCCGAAAAUGUUCGGACAUGAUGUUUAUCGGGAAAUUAUAUCAUAUCAAUAAAGUUGGAAGUCAUCAUUUCAUGAGCCACUUACUUGUUACACAAGUAAUGCAAAAGCUUCCAAAAGCCCCUAAAUCACUCAACAAAUCCUCUCACUCCACCACCAUUAGACACAUCACUUAUGCUAGUCUAAAUCUACUUACUUUGCAUUAAAUUUUCUGAUUUGAUGAGAGUGAGACUCUCCUAUAAAUACCUCACCCCAUUCUCUCAUUUUUUACACUAAAUUCCCUAUACAAACUAAGGUAGUAUUUUAUUUUCUCUUCUUCAUCUUCUUCUCAUACUUCAUAGAAAGUUAUGAUAUUUUAUUACGUUGUUCAUAAAGUAGAGUUUAUAUUUGUUCUUUAAGUAUUUUAUGAAGGCAUAACUAAAUGGGAUGAUAAUAAAAUCAUAUGAAUAUUUAUGUAGUUUUUGACUUUUGUAAAUAUUGAAAUUUCUUCAUUGUUCUUAGAUGGAAAAACUAUAUCUUUGGACAAUGUUAGAUGAGUUAUUAGUUUGGAUGGAAAUAUUAGAAAUUAUUGUUAGUAUUUGAAUAUGUUUAAAGGUGAUGAUUUUAACAUCAAAGGAAUCUUUAAUGUGUUUAAUAAAAAAAAGUAUUUUAUUCUUGAAAGUUUAUGAUGUUGAUGAGUUGUUGUUGAAAAUGUUUCAUUUUUAGAAAGUAUUAUGUUUUAAAAGUGGUUUAACAUAUUUUACUCUUUGAUUUCCAAGUUAAAAUAAUGAUUUGGGAUAAAAGAUAAUUUAUUAAAGUCUUGACUACAUAAACUUAAAGUAUUAUGAAGUUUUGGAUAUUAAGUUGUAGAAAGUCUUACCUUCGAAUUUUGAAAGUGUAAAGUGUCAAGAAUAGCACUAGAAUGUCUUUGCCAAUGUUUUGAUGAAGACAAGGUUUUAACAAAGCUUGAAGAUGGCUCAACAAUCAAUAAGCCUUAUGCUCAUUUGGUCAUGUCUAGACUAGGAUAUAAAUUGAGUCUAUAAUCUAAGUAGUCUGGGAUGUGUGCCAUAGUAAGUGAGUAUAAGUUAGGUAAACCUAGAUGCUAGUAUCUUAAGCCAUCUUAAUUGAACUAUCAUAUUCAUGAGAUACAUCAUCUAGUUAAUUGUAUGUUCAUGCAUCUAUCAUACAUGUUAUAUGUGCAUAUUAGGCAUAAUAUAAUUUGGUAAAGCAUGUAUGUAUAUUGUGCGUAACAUAUGAGAAGUUUACCAUUUGAAACAUAUGCAUAAAUGUUCCAGUUAAUCGAUUAACGUGGUAACUUAAUCGAUUAAUCUAACUGCUUUUCUGUUGAAUAUGUGUUUUCUAUUUUAACUGAAUUUUGUGUCAUUAUGUUGUCCUGUUAAUCGAUUAAAUGGAAGUCUUAAUCGAUUAACUACUCUGUUAUGUGUUAUAACUGAAAUCUGUUUUAGCUGUUUUAACUGCUUAACUGUUUAACUGUUUUUGCAAUGAAUGAAACCACUUAUUCUCCAUGCUAUAAAUACAAGGAAUUACUCAGAAACCCAUAGCAUUGCAUUCUAUUGUAUAGGGCUGUUUAGAGAGCAUUUUGCAUACAUAUUUUACUGUGGUUUUGCAAGAGAGUUGCAUGUGUGAGAAGUGAGAUUAUGCUGUUUUAAUUGUUGUAAUAUGCUUUCUGUUUUUGCAUAAUUUCAUAUCCAUUCUUAUAUUGCACACAUGAUCAUGCAUUAGAUUUUGAUAGAAGGAAAUCAUUUGUAUACUGAUAUUGAUUAACUCAUUCUGAUAUUGAUGGCUUAAGUGAUUAGUAAAAGGGUUAAUCUUUGAGUCUUUAUCUUGUAAUAUUUUAACCAUUAUUGUGCUUAGUAUAUCUUGAUGUUUAACGUAUUUUUGUGUAGUCUGGAUUUUUUUCUUGGUGUGAGAUCACCAUAGAGAUUGAAGUUCUUCACCAAGGCUAGGAGGUCUUGAUUUGAGGAUAAGAAUCUUGGCUGGGGCUAGUUUGCAAGAAAGGUUUCCUCAAGAGGCGAAUGGUAGAGUCAAACCAAGUUUUAGAGAUCCUAGAUUUCAAGAACGAAGCAUCCUAUGUGCUUGUAAUUGAAUUGAUAUUUGUAUACUUUAUUCAAUAUUGUGAAGAAAGAAAAUCUCCCUAAUCCAAAAGGGGAGGUCUGGAUGUAGUUUGCAGUUGAACGCAAACGAACCAGGAUAAAAAUCUUGUUUGCACUGUUCUUUCUCUCUUUAUCUUCUUUAUGUUUCUUGCCAUCAUAAAUUGAAUAUGUAAUUGAAAAGUUGGAAAUUUGUUUACUGCCAUAUAAUUAAUAUUUGUGCAUAAAAAUAUCUGAAUUAUAUCUGUUCAAUUGUGUUUUAAUUACUGUGAAAUUUGCCUGUCUGAUCAUUCUGUUCUAUGUAAUAGUUAAUCGAUUAAAUCCUGCUGUUAAUCGAUUAACUGGACUAUUUUUCCAGCCGUUGGGUUUUGGUUCAAGAAGUGGUAAUUAUUAACCACUACACCUAUUCAACCCCCCUUCUAGGUGUUCCUAGACAACUGAUACCUAACAAGUGGUAUCAAAGCUAGUACGACGUGCUAGCUCAACCGUAUCCGCGUGAUCCGAAGGGAAAUAAAAUGGGUUCCACCAACCCCUUUGGCGCUGAUGGCACAUCCAUUAAUCGCCCUCCCGUAUUCAGUGGCGAGGGUUACGCCUACUGGAAAGUCCGAAUGAAAAAAUUCAUUAAGGCUAUUGAUUCGAUUAUUUGGGAAUCCGUAAUUAGUGGCCCCUUCGCCCCACUUCACUUAGUGGAUGGUGAAUCGAAAGAAAAGCCAAAAAGCCUAUGGACCAAUGAGGAGCGCAAGAAGGUCCAGUUCAACCUUCGCGCCAAGAACAUCUUUACAUCGGCUCUAUCUUACGAUGAAUUCUUUCAGGUGUCCCAAUGUCAAAGUGUCAAGGAAAUGUGGGACACUUUACAAGUGACUCACGAAGGCACUAGCGAAGUCAAGCGCGCCCGGUUAAAUGCGCUAACUCACGAAUACGAAUUAUUUCCUAUGCUACCGAGUGAAUCAAUCGGCGAUAUGCAAAAAUGAUUCACUCACAUCAUCAACCAUCUUAUCACUUUAGAUAAGGUGUUCACCAAAGGAGAGCUCGCUAAUAAAGUCUUACGCUGUCUUGAUAGGAGAUGGCAACCUAAAGUAACAACAAUCAUGGAGUCCAAGGAUCUAGACUCCAUGCCUUUGACAACACUCUUUGGAAAGCUUCAGGAGUAUGAGAUGGAGCUUGGGCGUCUGACAAUGCAUGAGGAGUCCGAUCGCAAAAAAAAGGGAAUCUCUCUCAAAGCUUCAACAUCACAACCCAUUGAAGAGAUAGAUAAUGAAGACUCCGACUUAGACAUUGACGAGGAAACGCUAAACCUUCUAGUACAAAAAUUUGGAAAUUUCUUAAAGAAGAAAGGAGGACUUAGACGAUUCCAAAAGAAAGAAGCGCGAGAAUCAACAAAGAAAGGCAAGACAAAAGAGCGUUUUACUUGUCAUGAAUGUGGUAAGCCAGGAUACAUGAAGUAUUAGUGCCCUACUUAUCUGAAAAGAGUUGAUUCAGAAAAGAGCAAUCCUCGGGACUUCAAAUCAAAUAAAGCCUACAUCGUCUAGGAUGUACCGGAGGAAGAAACAACAUCAAGCACCUCAGAUGAAGAGGAGACCGCGAAGCUGUGCUUAAUGACUAUUAGAGAUGAGGCUUGCGGAUCAGGUAGCAAGGAUACUUCAGAUGAGGUAUACUCUGACACAUCCUCUUCUUCUUCCGACUCUCCCUCAUAUGAAAUAUUAUAUAGUGCUUAUGUUGAGAUGCAUGAAGAACUUAAAAAAUUAGCAAAGUUAAGUAACGAGAGAAAAAGAAUAAUUUUGCUAAACCAACAAAUAAUAAUUCAAUUGCAGAAAGAAUUAGAUGAAUUAAAACUAGAAAGAGAAACAUUAGAUCUAAUUUUUUCUUGCGCUUCAUGUGAUUGCUCAAAUAAUAAUUUAUGUCAAAAUACUACUUGUGAGUCUUGCGAGGGCUUGAAAAACGAAAAUUUUAAACUGAAUGAAAAACUCGCAAAACUCACAAAUAGUAAAAACCAACUAGACACCUUGCUCAGCAAAACAAGAAAUAUAGGUGACCAUAUAAGAUUAGGAUAUGUUCACCCAUCCCGUAAAAAUAACCAUAUAGGAGACCUCUAACACGUCAAUAUAAAAAUACAAAUAAACCAAACCGAGUCCCUAUGUGCCAUUACUGUGGCACUUAUGGUCAUACUUCUCAUUCCUGUNNNNNNNNNNNNNNNNNNNNNNNNNNNNNNNNNNNNNNNNNNNNNNNNNNNNNNNNNNNNNNNNNNNNNNNNNNNNNNNNNNNNNNNNNNNNNNNNNNNNAAAGAGAAACAUUAGAUCUAAUUUUUUCUUGCGCUUCAUGUGAUUGCUCAAAUAAUAAUUUAUGUCAAAAUACUACUUGUGAGUCUUGCGAGGGCUUGAAAAACGAAAAUUUUAAACUGAAUGAAAAACUCGCAAAACUCACAAAUAGUAAAAGCCAACUAGACACCUUGCUCAACAAAAAAAGAAAUGUAGGUGACCAUACAAGAUUAGGAUAUGUUCAUCCAUCCCUUAAAAAUAAACCUUAGAGAAGACCUCUAACACGUCAAUAUAGAAAUUCAAAUAAGCAAAACAGAGUUCCUACAUGCCAUUACUGUGGCACCUAUGGUCAUACUUCUCAUUCCUUUUAUAUCAGGAAAUAUGGGAUACCUAGUGGUGUUUACACUUGGGGUAAGAAAGGGAGAUAACUCCCUAGUCACUAACAAAAAAAGACCCAACAUAAUUUGGGUACCUGAGUCUAGCAGGUGAUCUAUAUUGCAGGUAUGUCUUUGAACACAUGGACAAAAUUGGUAUCUUGAUAGCGGCUGUUCGAGACAUAUGACUGGGGACAAGUCAAAAUUCCUAGACUUGUCAUUAANNNNNNNNNNNNNNNNNNNNNNNNNNNNNNNNNNNNNNNNNNNNNNNNNNNNNNNNNNNNNNNNNNNNNNNNNNNNNNNNNNNNNNNNNNNNNNNNNNNNUAUCUAUAUGGUUAAUCUGGAGGAUGUCACUUCCCUUUUCUCAAAAUGUCUUAUUUCAAAAGAAGAUGACAUUUGGCUUUGGCAUAGAUGCGUUGCUCACAUACAUGUGAAGCAUUUAUAAAAAUUAUCAAAAAAUAACUUAGUAAUCGGUCUUCCAAAACUCGAUUUUAAAACUCAAGAUUCCUGUGACAUGUAUCAGAAAUGUAAACAAGUCAGGAAUUCUUUUAAUAAANNNNNNNNNNNNNNNNNNNNNNNNNNNNNNNNNNNNNNNNNNNNNNNNNNNNNNNNNNNNNNNNNNNNNNNNNNNNNNNNNNNNNNNNNNNNNNNNNNNNCCCCUCAACAAAAUGGAGUUGUUGAGAUGAAAAAUAGAGUUCUAGAAGAACUCGCAAGGACUAUGCUAAAUGAAAGCAAGGUCCCAAAGUAUUUUUGGACUGAUGCAGUUCACACAUCAUGUUAUGUAAUAAAUAGAAUACUACUUAGACCUACUUCUUCAAAAACACCUUAUGAAAUUUUUCAAGGUCGAAAACCAAAUAUUGCUCAUCUUCAUGAUUUCGGGUGCAAAUGUUUUAUUUUGAAUAAUGGAAAAAGAAUUUUAGGAAAGUUUGACUCGUCAAAAGGUGAUGAGGGCAUAUUUUUAGGAUAUUCAUUAAUAGUAAAGCAUUUUGUGUGUUUAAUAAAUAUACCAUGCAAGUAGAAGAGUCUAUUCAUGUCCAUUUUGACGAAUCUUCUCCAAAAGAGAAGAGAAAGGUCGUUUCAGAUGAUAAUUCAGGUACACUUGAAGAAGUACAAUACCAGGACAUAGAAGAAAUCCAACAAGAAGCAGAGCAAACAGAAACAUAGCAACAUCAGGAAAUGCCUAUUGCGUGGAAAACUAAAAAGGAUCAUCCACUCGAUAAGGUGUUAGGUGAUAUAACUACGGGAGUGGUAACCUGUAGCUCCUUACGAAACUUUUGUAAUUUUGUUGCAUUCGUGUCUCAAAUAGAGCCUAAGACCAUCGAUGAAGCCAUUGAGGAUGUGCACUAGUUAUAACUAUGCAAUAAGAGCUAAACCAGUUUGAGCGAAAUAAUGUGUGGGACUUGGUCCCCAAACCAAAAGAUCAUCCUGUUAUUGGCACCAGAUGGGUUUUCCGUAAUAAGCUAGAUGAAUCUGACUUAAUAAUUAGAAAUAAGGAUCGCCUAGUGGCCAAAGGCUACAACUAGGAGGAGGGCAUCGAUUAUGAUGAGACCUACGCUCUUGUAGCCAGACUUGAGGCCAUUAGGAUGUUCUUGUCAUUUGCAUCAAUCAUGAACUUUAAACUUUUUCAAAUGGAUGUUAAAAGUGCCUUUUUAAAUGGAUAUAUUCAAGAGGAGGUGUACGUAGACCAACCACAAGGGUUUGAAAACUUCAAAUACUCGAACCAUGUAUAUAAANNNNNNNNNNNNNNNNNNNNNNNNNNNNNNNNNNNNNNNNNNNNNNNNNNNNNNNNNNNNNNNNNNNNNNNNNNNNNNNNNNNNNNNNNNNNNNNNNNNNUAGAUUGAGUUCAUUCCUUCUAGAAAAAAAAGGUUUGAAAGAGGUUUGGUCAACACCACUCUAUUCAUCCGUAGAUCUGAUAAUCAUGUUUUACUCAUAUAAAUAUAUGUUGAUGAUAUUAUAUUUGGAUCUACUAACGACAUCAUUUAUAAGGAGUUUUCUGAGUUGAUGCAGGGGGAGUUUGAGAUGUCGAUGAUUGAUGAGCUGACCUUCUUUCUUGGACUUCAAAUCAAACAAAUGGAAAGUGGCAUCUUCAUCCAUCAAUCGAAGUAUUGCAAGGAAUUAUUGAAGAAAUUCGACAUGGAGAAAUGUAAGGACGCAUCUACACCUAUGGCAUCUGCAUGCUAUCUGGACAGAGAUGAAACGGGAAAAGCGAUUGAGGUAACCAAAUAUCGUGGAAUAAUCAUCUCCUUACUAUAUUUAACUGCUAGUCGCCUCGAUAUUAUGUUUAGUGUUUGCAUGUGUGCUAGAUUUCAAGCUUUACCUAAAGAAUCACAUUAUAUUGCUGUGAAACGCAUUAUGAGAUAUAUAAAAGAAUCCAUUCAUAUGGGAUUAUGGUAUCAUAGGGAUGUCUCACUAUCCUUGGUAAGUUAUUCCGAUUCCGACGUCGCUGGGUGUAAGUUGGAUCACAAAAGAACUAGUGGGACUUGUCACCUAUUAGGCAGCUCCCUAGUUGCAUGGCACAGCAAAAAGCAAGCGUGCGUUACUUUGUCCACCGCUGAAGCGGAAUACAUUGCCGCUGGCGUGUGUUGCGCUCAAAUCCUAUGGAUGAAGCAGCAACUUAAGGACUUUGGGCUUAUAUUAGAAAAGAUCCCUAUUAAAUGUGAUAACACAAGUGUCAUUAACCUCUCCAAGAAUCUAGUUUUGCAUUCUAGAGCUAAGCAUAUUGAAAUAAGGCAUCAUUUCUUGCGUGAUCAUGUUCAAAAAGGUGAUUGUAUUUUAGAAUUUGUUGAAAUAACUAAACAAUUGGCAUAUAUUUUCACCAAGCCUCUCUCACGAGAUACUUUCUAUGUUCUUCGAAGAGAACUAGGAAUCCUUGAUGAAAAAUAUCUCGAGCCUUGCAUGAUCCCCUUUGAAUGCUUUGUAAAUGAUGAUUGAAUGCUUAUGAUUCCAUUUUAUAAAUCCAUGAUUUUGUGCUUAAAUGCUCUAAAUAUAUUUGAUAGCUUAAACAUCAAAUUAUCCAAUUAAGUUUGAAAUCCAUGCAUGCUUUUAAAAACAUCCAAAACGCUGAAACUAAUGCAUUUAAUCGAUUAAGUAACUCAUUUAAUCGAUUACCUGGGCCAAAAUUUUUAAAAUUGCCAUUUUCAGCUUAGGUUAAUCGAUUACGUGAUGCUGUUAAUCGAUUAACAUCAUCAAUAUAUCAUAAACAGAAGCGUUUCUGGACACAUUUCAAAACACCAUUCAUCCCAUUUUCUCUCAAAUCUUAGAGGAACAAGUCUGACAUCAUCCUAAGCUUAAUCCUAGCUCUAAACCGAAUCACCCCAUUGCUUUUUCCCUCCAUAAACCGUAUUCAUCUCCUAUUUCCAAGUAUUCGUUUUUCCCAAAAUUCAAAACCUCACCCUAGUUUUUCCUCAACCUUCCUUUAAGCCUUCAUCACGAUUCAGUGUUUGAUUGCUAUGGAUAAAGGACGUGGAAAGAGAAUUAAGACAACCGUAAAACGUCCACCGCAUGCUCCAAAAGCAGUGCUUCCUCCACAACCAAGGCAGAACCGCGAGGACCCAUACUAUUCUCUAAUUCUACAAGAAACUCGGUUGCAGAAAUUUCAGGGAAGAAAACCCACCUAUAUUCGGUUUGCGAAUGUGACAUUGCUUGCAGAACAGAACUUCGAAUUUCCGCAUGGAUUACAAGCUCAAGGGGUUGUCCCCUUCUUGGAAUUGAAAGGUAAUAUUUACCCUGCUCUAGUUAGGGAGUAUUACGCAAAUUUUAGAUACAAAAUGGGAAAUACUGGUCUAUGAUAGCUGGAAAACUGUUUGAGGUUAAUGAACAAAUUUUUAUGAAUGUGGGUGGUUUAGCUUUUUCUGGUGCUAGUCUAAGUGAUUGUGGUUGGGCAAACGACAACUCAUUCGAUGUUGUUGAUAUGUAUAACUCAUGUUUGCGUAGACCUCAACUCUAUGUCCAAGGCGAAAUGACCAAAGCUGGGUCAUUGUCCGUAGAAACCCGACUCCUACACUACUUGAUUGCCUACAUAGUGAUUCAGUGAAACACAAAUCAUGCACAACCUACCGUGAAUGAUUUGAGGUUUAUGUUUACUGUGAAGGAGAACAUCAUGAUAAAUUAGCCUGAUGAAAUUCUGAAGGUCAUGUAUAGCGUCUCAGUCUCUCAAUCAAGACUACUUCCGUAUAGUAUCUUCAUAUCCUGAGUAAUUGACUAUCUUCACAUUGAUAUUUCAGAUACUGUGGUAAUGGACUACUCAGACAAGGAUCACUUGAUUGGUGAGAGCUUAAUUCACAAGAUGGGCAUCUACAAGUAUGGCAACACUUGGCAAUAUCAAGAGGACUUCAACAAUGCCAACCUUGAUCCUUNNNNNNNNNNNNNNNNNNNNNNNNNNNNNNNNNNNNNNNNNNNNNNNNNNNNNNNNNNNNNNNNNNNNNNNNNNNNNNNNNNNNNNNNNNNNNNNNNNNNGAACCUGCGUUUGGGCAAGCUUAUAUUGAUGCUAUGGAACAACGUCUCAAUAAUAGGAUGGACCUUCAUUUUCAGUCUUUCAAGGAUUCAUAUCAUACGGAUUUGGAACAUUUUGAGGAACAUCAGAAUGUAUACAUUGACAACCAUUACCAAUCCUUGCGGAACCAUAUUCAGUCUGUUAAUGAGUCUCAGAAUAGAAGAAUGAUUGCUGAGUUCAACAAGCUGAGUGUCUUCAUCAAGGGUGGUUGUAGUUCGUCGACUCCUGACAACUAGAAUCCUCCAUCUCAUCCUUAGAUAGGAACCCUUAGAGCCUUAGUUUAGUCUUCCUAGCUAAUGGACUUUGUUGAUCUUGUUUCCUCUUGAGAUCUUAUGUUUUGUAUUGUGUUACUAUUUUAUUUGGAUUGUAAUAACUCAUAUCUACUACUGAACUACUGUUUUACAUUUUGAGGAAAAUGAUUUCGAAUUAUCGCGUUUAUACUUGAUUGUUAAUUAUAUUGCAUAUAAUACCUCACUUUGUUUAAAAUGAAUCUUGAUCAUGAUUGGUAUAUGUAAUUAUGUUGACUGAUUAUGCCUAUUGUCAUCUACUUGGCUAGUUGUCCAUGUCUCCUUGUUAAAAUAUUUUUUCACCUUGUUGUGCGUUAAAUCUUUGAGUUAAACACAAUUUUGUCCUCAACAGUCUUACCUCACAUAAACAAAUAAUCAAACAAAACUACAAGUGCGGGUAAAUUCUCCAAGAUAAUUAAAAUAACAAGAGUUAGAAACAGAAUGUAAAAAUUCAAAAUAAAAAAAUUGCUCCAAUGUUAAGUAUGCAAACACAAGUCUUCGACAACAACGCCAUUUUUUUAACUGGAAAAUUGAUUAAUAAAAUUACCAAAUCGAGUUGUCGCAAACAAGUAUAAAAGAUUGUCGAAUUCACAAGAACUUGCUUAAUACAAAUCUUUCAACCAAAAUUUUCUAUUCUAAGUUGAUUUAAAGUGGGUUUAGUUGGAUUAAUUAUGCUAAUAAAGUAAAUAAGAUUGGGUUAAAUAUAUUGGGAUUGGACUUUACUAUUCAUUAUCCAUACAUACUUCAUUCAACCAUGCUUAUUCAAAAAACUAUGAUACUUGAAAGUGCAAAGUGUCAAGAAUAGCACUAGCAUGUCUUUGCCUAUGUUUUGAUGAAGACAAGGUUUUAACAAAGCUUGAAGAUGGCUCAACAAUCAAUAGGCCUUAUGCUCAUUUGGUCAUGUCUAGACUAGGAUAUAAAUUGAGUUUAUAAUCUAAGUAGUCUAUGAUGUGUGCCAUAGUAAGUAAGUAUAGGUUAGGUAAACCUAGAUGCUAGUCUCUUAAGUCAUCUUAAUUGAACUAUCAUAUUCAUGAGAUACAUCAUCUAGUUAAUUGUAUGUUCAUGCAUCUAUCGUACAUGUUAUAUGUGCAUAUUAUGCAUAAUAUAAUUGGUAAAGCAUGUAUAUAUAUUGUGCAUAACAUAUGAGAAGUUUACCGUUUGAAACAUAUGCAUAAAUGUUCCAGUUAAUCGAUUAACAUGGUAACUUAAUCAAUUAACCUAACUGCUUUUUUGUUGAAUAUGUGUUUUCUGUUUUAACUGAAUUCUGUGUCAUUCUGUUGUCCCCUUAAUCGAUUAAAUGGAAGCCUUAAUCGAUUAACUAGUAUGUUAUGUGUUAUAACUGAAAUCUGUUUUAGCUGUUUUAACUACUUAAUUGUUUAACUGUUUUUGCAACGAAUGAAACCACUUAUUCUCCAUGCUAUAAAUACAAGGCAUUACUCAGAAACCCAUAGCAUUGCAUUCUAUUGUAUAGGGUUAUUUAGAGAGCAUUUUGUAUACGUAUUUUACUGUGUUUAUGCAAGAGAGUUGCAUGUGUGAGAAGAGAGAUUAUGAUGUUUUAAUUGCUGUAAUAUGCUUUCUGUUUUUGCAUAAUUUCGUAUCCAUUAUUAUGUUGCUCACAUGAUCAUGCAUUAGAUUUUGAUAGAAAGAAAUCAUUUGUAUACUAAUAUUGAUUAACUAAUUCUGAUAUUGAUGACUUAAGUGAUUAGUAAAAGGGUUAAUCUUUGAGUCUUUAUCUUGUAAUAUUUUAAGCAUUAUUNNNNNNNNNNNNNNNNNNNNNNNNNNNNNNNNNNNNNNNNNNNNNNNNNNNNNNNNNNNNNNNNNNNNNNNNNNNNNNNNNNNNNNNNNNNNNNNNNNNNCCCUAAUCCAGAAGGGGAGGCCUGGAUGUAGCUUGCAGUGGACCGCAAACGAACCAGGAUAAAAAUCAUUUUUGCACUGUUCUUUCUCUCUUUAUCUUCUUUAUGUUUCUUGCCAUCAUAAAUUGAAUCUGUAAUUGAAAAGUUGGAUAUUUUUUUACUGCCAUAUACUUAAUAUCUGUGCAUAAAAAUAUCUGAAUUAUAUUUGUUAAAUUGUGUUUUAAUUACUGUGAAAUUUGCCUGUCUCAUCAUUUUGUUCUGCGCAAUAGUCAAUCGAUUAAACUCUACUGUUAAUCGGUUAACUGGACUGUUUUUCCAGCUGUUGGGUUUUGGUUCAAGAAGUGGUAAUUGUUAACCGCUACACUUAUUCAANNNNNNNNNNNNNNNNNNNNNNNNNNNNNNNNNNNNNNNNNNNNNNNNNNNNNNNNNNNNNNNNNNNNNNNNNNNNNNNNNNNNNNNNNNNNNNNNNNNNUAAAAUGAUUUAAAAAUGUUGAAUCUUAGUUCAGUGAACUUACUUUAAAAUGGUAAGAUUUACUUAAAAAGUAUUGAUUUAAAAGUAUUGAUUUUGUUUAAAUUGACUUACUUUAAAAAUGAAAAGUCCUUAAUGAUCUUAUUUUAAAAGGUUAGUUUUAGUAAAAAUGUUUUACUUACAAAAAAAUAAGAUUUAUGAACUAUCAGAAAAAUGUAAUGAAGUGGUAAUACAUGUCUAGAAAGGUUCUGUCUAAGGAAAGACUUGGUAUUUAAGGGUGUCUUUACGACCCACAUCUCUUUCCUGGGAACUAGCCUGGUGUAUAUCCAUGGAUUACGACAUAAUUCCGCUAUAAGUUUGAUUGAAAAUCUUACUUUAAAAAGUGUUAUUUGAUUGUAAGACUUUCAAUGACAAAUGACGAUUCAAGGAUAUUCAACCUUGAAUUGGAUGGACGAAAGCAAUUAAAUUCAUUUUAAAUUAGAAGUUUUAUCUUCACGUAAAAAGUUAUUUUGUAUAUAUAAUAAUUAUCGUCAGUUAACUAAUUAACGUUAUUUUGGCGUAAUGAAUAGUUCCAGAGGAGAUCGGAUCAAGUAAGCUCACCUGCAAACAGAGAACCUAGCGACCCGACACCAAUGAUGUAAAAACUGUACCAUAUCGGCUGGUUCAAUCGGAAAACCGGUGAACUGGUCCCCUAACCAGUACGAUACAAAUGUUGAACUGACCAAUGAUCAAAAUCGGUGAACCGGCCAAUAUUUCACUAAACCGGCCGGUUUAUACACAUAUUUUUUUUGAAAAAAAACUUAAAAACUUAAAAAUUCAUUAUAAGGUGACCCAUCUUUCCAACCCUUCUUCAACAUUUCAAGGCACAUGCUUCCAAGGUAUAAUUAGAUUACACAUUUUGGUUCCUAACAUUCGCAUUCAUGUGUAAUCUCAGUGACAUUUGUGUAAUCUUGGAGUAUUGUGUGAAGAUAGGAUUUGGUGCAAAAAUAUAAUAUUGAUAUGAGACAACUUUGACUCCUUGGUGUUAAAUGUUAAAACUCCAAAUUUAUUUGUUUUGUAGAGUGAGUUGUGAACUUGUGUCAUUUAUUUAUAUUUUGCGGUUGUUAAGUGAUACUUUUGGAUUGAUAUAUGUUUUUUUAAUUUAGACUUUGAAUUUGUUAAAGACUUAAAGUUGUUUGUUUAUGUGAAUUUUGAGUAGAUUAUGAAUAUGGAUUAUAAAUUUGAGUAUCUACCUAUUUGGAAAUUUUUGUUAUAGGUUUAUAUAUAUAUAAAUAUAAGUAGGUAUGUCCGGUUUAACCAGCAUGCAGUUUAAUUACUGAACCACCGGUUGAACCACUGUACCACUAUUCCAGUACCCUGACCAGUUUGAUAACCGAUACAAUUUUAACAACACUGCUUGACACACUCAGGUGAGGGAGAAAACAUUGUGACACAAUGGUGUCCGAAUAUGCAUCAGGACCUCCAAACUCCCUCACAAGUUUGGAGUCGCCUUGGGUAUUAAGAGAGCUUGUACUUAAUCAAUUGUAUGUUUGUUUGGAUUAAGUACAACAAUAUUUCUAAUACCGAUUUAUGUUAUGUUUAUAUAUACAAAUACCAUGUUUACUCUUGAAUUAUAAUGUUUGAAUGAUUAUUAUGGGAAUGAUAUGUAUGUGAUAAUUGUUAAAUUCAAGGUUUAAAAACAUGUGAUAUAAAUGAGAAAUAUUUUCCUUGAGAAAAGUAAUUAUAAUGAUAUUCAGGCUCUUCUCGCUUGAGCAAGACACCUUUCUCUUGAGCGAGAAGUGUCUAGAGAAAACGAGUGUUUUAGCUCGGGGCGAUACAGCUCUCGCUUGAUCUAAAAUAGGCACCAAGAGAACUGAUUGUUUUCUCGCUUAAGCCACAAAUGCCUCAAAAAUGGAUGUGCCCUCGCUUAAGCGAGACAGCUCUCGCCUGAGCGAGAAGGCUCCAUACAGACAUGACUUCUUUUUAAGUCAUCUGAACGAAAACUCUCAUAUAUACGAGAGCCUAAUGACAUGACUGCCAUCAAGAAGUUGUAAAGGUAAAUAAUUAUAAGAAAUUCUUGAAAGUAAUAAAACUAAGGAAUUGCUUUGUUAAAAGGAGAGGCCCGAGGGUGUGAUAUUAUGCCCACGCAGCGAGAUCGUUUGACCGUAAGAGGCUUGGCUAGAGGAGUCGUCCAGGAUGAUUCAGCGAUGGUUUGCAGUGGUGCUGAGAAGUAUUAUGUUAUGUCCAUGUAGUGAGAUCGUCUGACCAUAAGAGGUUUGGCUUGAGAGUCGUCCAAGAUAAUUCAGUGAUGGUUCGUAGUGGUGCUGAAAUUAUUCUUUUUUUAUUUAUAUGUUAAGAUCGGGACCCACUAGAAGCAUUCCCGAUGGAGAUGUCUUAGGAUGGGCAGAUCGCUAGAAAAGAUGGAUUAAAAGAUAUAAUUUGCUAAUAUCGGUUAGGGUGCAUAUCCAUGGUAAAAAAUGAAGUAGUGGAGAGGAAAUGUACGAGAGAUGAAUGAGCCCUAAGAUGUUGAGAGGGACGGCGUUGAUGGCGGUGAUUCGUCAGCAAAGUCUUGAGGGAGAGUCUAGGUGAGACGAGUCCCAUGUAUUCUUGGAUGAGGUAUUAUGUUGGAUCGGACAAUGCUCACAGCGUAAACUAUACAAUCUCUGACAACCCCUAUUUUUAAUCAGGGUCGAUCAGAGGGAUGCCCAAAAAGUGUUUGAUAUGACACCAUCCUGAAAUGGACAGCUCUGUUGGAACAGAUCGAUCAUAUAUCCUUGCAAAGAAUAAUUUUGGUGCGAUCAAAUCGGCUUAUUAUGAGAACUGUACUCUCAGUUAUUUCCGAAUAGUUAUUGGGAGGAUAAAGGAGUAAGGAUGGUGGACUCAUGCAUUGCAUACAUGAUAUUCUUCGAUAUUGAUUCUAAAUUCUCGAGUUUUAUACUUCAUUCAUCCUUAUUAUAUGCUUAUAUGAUCACAUGAUAUAUCUGUACUCGUGUGUUGUCUUGGUGUAAUAUUCUGUGUAAUUCAACGACGUCGAUGACAAGUUUUUCAUAGAUGUUUUACUCCCUCUCUUUUCUUCUGGUGUAUUUGUAUGCAUGUUCGGAUGGACCCAUCAGCAUUGAUCUGAGGUUAUCGCUUCACUAUGUCCCAGGAGGGGACAUGGAGUGUUGAGGGUAAUCGACACACUUACACAGGUCUUUUCAACCUGGAGCUGGAUUUGGUAAGCAAUGGCUCAGUUCUGCAUCUUCCACCUUACUACACAGUUCGGGAGGCAUCACUCACUUUGCCCGACCGAAGACCUGCAACUGUUGGACUUUCUGCACCGGCUGAAGCUCGAGGCGUACCAAAAGUUGUUAGGACCUGGCCCCAAACAAGAUUCUCAUCAUCAGGAUCGGCACCAAAAGAGACAGACGGGGUCAUGCCAAGGGGGUACACCCCGGACCCCUCGAAGGAUUGGGGAGCGGAUGAAGUGGAGGAGGAGGAAGACAACGGUGACCGUGUAGAGCUUAUCUGCAUAGAAGAUUCAGUUGAGGUCAUUGAGAUCUCUUCUGACUCGGAGGUGGAAGAAGACCCUAGCGAGGCUUCUAGUGCACCUCCGAUUUAGGAGGUUUCUCUUUUGUUUUGUUGUGAUAGGAACCUGUGUGAGGUACUUUUUCUAAUGUCAAUGCCCCGACUUUAUUUUCUUUGUAAGUAUUAUUUUCUUUGUAUUUUCAGUUUCUUUAUUUGUGGCGAUGAUUAGAUAUCGCCCUGUAAACAAUUCUAUAUUUAUUCAAGAAUUUUAUGAAUGAGAUGUAUUCAUAAAAGAAUUGUGUUCAUUUAUUAUCUUCAAUGUAUUAAGAAUUUUAUUUUCACAAGGUUUGAAAAUGUGACGUCUUGAAAAUGGAAUAUGGUAAAAGUGAAAAUGAUUUGUAAGUUAUAGGUUACAUAAAAUUAAAAAAAAAAGGAAAGAAAAAUUUACCCAUUUUUCUAAGAGAUUAAAUAUAUUAAAUAUAAAAUGAUUUUCGGGCAUUACACACAUCUUGUGGUCUUGGCGGUGGCGUAAUAAUACAUUAUUGAGAAAGUCUACUUGGGACAUUUCUUAUGUCUCACGAAAUAUCCACCAAUAUUUCAAGGAUUUGUGUCUCAUUGAUACAAUGUCGAAUGAAACAACCUUUUUGAGUAUCCAUUGGUGUCAUCCGAAAGUUAGAAGGGUAAAGCUUAAUAUGGUUGGUAAUUGUAGUAUGUAUGAUCAAGUGAUUGGAGGAGAUGGCGUUAUCCGCAUUCAUGUUGCCUUUGGUUAUCAGGAUUCACUAGAAAUUUUAGAAUUGGAUGUUCUAUUCUAGUUGAGCUUUUGACCAUUAAACAUGGUCUUGAGUUGGCUUGGAAGUUAAGUCAUCGCAAGGUUACUUUGGAGGGUAAAUGCCUAGAAGCAAUUCAUAUUAUUUUUUGAUAAGGUACACAUUUGCUUGUAUCUUAUUUGUCAAGUACUUUAUAAUAUAUGUGGGUUGCUUAUGAAUAAUUGGGAUGUUCAACAUCAGUUUAUAUACAAAGAGGGAAUUAUGAUAAAAGAUUACAUAUCUAAACUUAGUUUGAGUCAACUUGAGAACUUGGGACUCUUCACUCACAGGAGCAUUGUCCAUCUUGGAGAUGAACAUUUCUCAUAUGCUUUAGUUUCUUUUAUGUUCUUUUUAUUUAUAAUGUACCCAAAAAAAUAUCAAUAUAGAGUGAUAAUAUAUUUCAUGUUAUUUAUUUAAGAUUGUUUUGAUAUUAUAAAGUAAUUUAUAUUUAGGAAAAAAUAUGUAUGAAGUGAUGGGGUAAGUUUUUUAUAUUUUUAAUGAAUUAUUCACCAUUUAUAUUUAAUUAUUUAUUGACUUUUAAAUAUAAAUAAUUCAAAUGAAUGAUUAAUAUAUUAACUGUAUAUAAAUUUUUAUAUUUAUGUAAGAUAUUACCACCUUUAUUUAAGAACAAUAAUAUCUUUUAAAUUGUGAUGUAAAAACCUCGAUAGACAUUAAUAGAAGUUGGAGCCAAAAUUUACAUUUUUAUGAGAUACUAAGGACUUCAAUUUAUGGUUGUUUUGGUAAUGAGGGACAAUAACCAGGUGUAAUUAAUGAAUGUAACUAGUGAAUGAAGUAGUUAAGGUAGGUAUUAUUAGCUAGCUAGUGCAAGUUGCAACAAUGUAGUGGAGGCCUACAUCAACGCAGAUUUGGAUUGUAUGAGAUGGAUUUAUUUGACAUCGUACAUAUUCUCUUUUGUGUAUGUGUAUAAUUGAUUAAAUAAAAUAAUACUUUUUUUAUAAACAUAAAUAAAUAUGUUAUUGAUGUUAUAAAAAAUAGACUUUAGAAAAUCCAGAAUUGUUUGACAUUUUACACUUGAGUGAAUAGUGGAAAAUUUAGGAAAAUAAAAAAUGAAAUAUUUUUUUCCAAAUCAUUAUAAAAUAAAAAUAGAGUAAAUUACACUGAUACCCCCUGAGUUUUAGUAAAAUUACACAAAUCACUCCUCACUUUUCUACACCUACACAAACCUCCUCUAUUUUUAAACUUUCAUUACAUUGAUCACCCUGCAUAAGAAAUAAGUGUAAUCUUUAAACAAAAAAUGUGAUAAAUGCAAUUAAGUUAAACAAAAUAUGAUAUAUUGUGGAGACACGUCCAAAUAAUAUAUGACUCAAUAUUUCUUUAUUAUUUUUGGUUCGUUAAACUAUAUUAUAAGAGCGAUUUGAACAAUAUUAUUUAGACUUGUCUACAUAAUAUAUAUGUUUUGUUUAACUUAAUUGCAUUUAUCAUAUUUUUUGUUUAAAAGAUUACACUUAUUUCUUAUGCAGGAGUGGUCAAUGUAAUGAAAGUUAAAAAAUAUGGGAAGUUUGUGUAAGUGUAAAAAAGUGAAGGGUGGUUUGUGUAAUUUUACUCAAACUUAGGGAUGUCGGUAUAAUUUACUCAUAAGAAUAAUACAUGCUAUUGCAUAAUAAUAUAAGGAAUAUAUGUCACCUUUUUUGAAUGAUAGAAAAUUUUAUAAAAUGAUAUAAGGUGGGGCGAUGGAAAAUUUUACAACAUGUAAUAUAAUUAUACGCUAAUAAUUUUUUAUUUAAUUAAAUAAUAUAUUUUAAUUAGUCUGAUAUAUCAAUUGAGACACAAAGAAAGAAAAAGAAUCUCCACUAAAAAAUAUGAGACUAAUUAUCAAUAAUAUAUUGAUAUAAUCAUAUGAUCCAAAAAAAACUAAAACAUUUAUUAAGAAGAACAGUAAGAUAUCCUUAAAAAUAUUAAUUACUUAUGAGAGAAUAUUAUAAAAAAAACUAAGCUCAGGUUCCAUUCUAGAGUAGAGUGAUAAAUGUGUGAAAUGAAGGUUGGCGUGAAGUAACUAACCCACCUGCCACGUGGGGAUAUCAUUAAAAACAACUCCAAAAAACUCUCACUCAAUUACUCACUAAUCAUCACACCUCAUAAUAACUCACUUUCCCUCUUCCUUCCUCUCUCUAUAUCUUUACCAUCAAGUUUUCUUUUCUAUCUCUUCAAUUCAUUCAUUCCUUACUUAUUAUGUAUUAAUCAUUUCUAUUUGUACCUAACACCAACAACUCCAAUUUAGCCAUGAACUUCGACGAGGUCUCCUUGGAGCGUAGCAAAAGCUUCAUCAAUUCCUUACAGGUUCAUAUUACUCACCAGAUCUGCACUUUUUUUUUUCAUUUCUAUAUUGUACUCUAGAUGCUGUUGAGUGUGAAUAAUUCUGUAUUUAUAGGAAAUGGAUUUACAAGUAGAGAGAAAGAGUGGAAACAAAUAUUCCAUUAUUUAUAUGUUUUUAUUAAGAACAAAUUUGGUACUAUUAGUAUGAUCAAAUACUGCUCCGAUGCUUUAGCUGAAUGCAGAAUCUCAUGGAAAAUUGUAAGAAUGCUAGAGGAAGUUCUAGAAAUAAGUUUCUGGAUAUUUCAUUCAGAAUUGUGUCAAAACUUAGGGAUGUGUGGAAGUAUUAUCAUAAUUGAGAUGAGGGAUCGUAUGAAGUUUCUUCAUGCUAAUGGAAAGCUGUAGUACCUGUGACAUGUUUAAAUUGAAAUAUUGAAUAAAUGAGAUGAUUGGAACUGAGACCAAUUUGGUCUAGAUGUGGCUGAUAGUAGAUCUAGUCCAUACUAAUAAAAGAGCGGUCCAGUGCACUAGGCUCCCAUCAAGUGGGAGUAUGUGUGGGAAGAGUAGAGGUUAUUUCCAGGAUUUGAAACUGUGUCACUAAGCAGCAACCUUACUUUUGUGCCGAGGCUCACCCUUUAUUAAAACAAUACUAAUUUGUUCAAUUAAAUAAGGUGAAGAGUCCAGAAAUAUUUAUUACUUUUCUAAGGGAUUAAGUUGGCUAUGUACUUUAUAUUUUUUCUUCUUUGAUUGCUGUGGUUAUGAAUAAAGUAGUCGUUUGAUCUUCAUAUUAUGGUAAUUGCAGGAACUUAAGAAUCUGAGGUCUCAACUUUAUUCCGCCGCAGAAUACUGUGAAAAAUCGUAUCUCCAUAGUGAACAGAAACAAAUGUAAGGAUAUUUCUUGUGCUGAUGAGAUUUUUUUCUUUAAAAGGAACUUGCUCUUGAAGGCAAUCUUAUCCCUUGCUUUAUAGCUGCUUUUCUAUGUUAAUGAAUGAAGCUAUUGCAACAGGAUAAACAAUGAGUAGUGGAAUUUUAUUCUAGUCAGUUCUUACUGGGGAUGUGAAUGUGAAUAAAAAAUUCAUUCUGCUUGGGCAUUUCAAUAAAUGCUAGUUGUGGAUAGUGAGUAUGAAACAAGCAACUAGCUUUGAGAAUUUUAACACUGUCAAGUAUUACAAGUGUUUUGAAUAAAAUGAAAUAAAACAUGGUUAGAAAAGGAUGCAUAAAUGUGGACCAUAUCAUUUUAAUUUGAUAUGUUCAUUUCUGAUAAACAACUUUGGAUGGUUUUGAAAGUGGAAACAUAAAGAACAUUCACUAAAGUUUUUUUGUAACCUGUGUUGGAUCCUGAACCCUGAUCAUUAUAACAUUACCCCCAUAAUAUAUGUAUAUAUAUAUAUAUAAGAAGUAUUCAUUAUAAUUAUUCUUAAAAUUGCAUGGUUAUGUUUCAGUUGUGAAGUUCGUGAGACUCAGUAGAUAUUGUCAUCCUAAAAAGUAUACCAGUAGAAUUUGUGUCCUUAGACAUUUUUGUGUAAUUUGGCAGCAUAUGUGAGUGACCGAGGGAGUUUUCCUUUAAUAUUACAGGCUCGUGUCCAAUCUUCUGGUGACAUAAAUGAGUGUCAACAAAAUUCUGUGUACAUAAUCAUUUGUGUUUGAACUGCAUGGAAUUUUUCUUAUCUGUUUGCUCUUUAUCCAUUAGGGUACUUGACAACCUGAGAGAUUAUGCGGUAUGUGCCCUUGUGAAUGCUGUUGAUCAUCUUGGAACUGUUGCAUACAAGUUAACUGACCUUCUUGAGCAACAAACAUCAGAUGUCUCAACUAUGGAUUUGAAGGUUUCUACCGUAAAUCAGGUAACAACAAACUUUUUGCAAAAUUAUGUUUUAGUAAACAGAUACCAGUUGGAGUUUUAAGUAAUGUAUUUGCUUACUAGCAGAAACUUCUUACAUGCAAAAUUUUCAUGGAUAAAGAAGGUCUUCGGCAGCAGCAAUUGUUGGCUUUCAUUCCCAGACAUCACAAGCACUAUAUUUUGCCAAGUAAGCUUGACUGCUUUUGUUUUACCUGGAUGUAAUUCUUGGCCCUAAAGAUAAAAAAAGUAGUUUUUACUUAUGGUUUUCUAUGUUUAUUUAUCAACGCAAGCUAGAUUCUGUCAAUAAAAAGGUACAUUUCAGUCCACACAUACAAAUUGAUGCAAGGCAGAAUCCAUUUCAAACCAAAACACGCUUUCAAUCUUCAGGUGUGUGGUGGGGCUAGAGUUUCUGGCAUUGGUUUUUUGAAUAUUUUUCUCUCUGUGAAAGCGAAUAUAACAUUAAUUGAUCUGAAUAUAUUUUUAUAACUAGGCACACAUGCGUCAAAAACUCUUUCAUGGCAUUUAGCAUCAGAGACUAAGUCUACCUUAAAAGGGAUUCCACAUGCUUCACCUAGGUAAGUUUGUCAAAUUUAAUAGUAAGUAAACCCCAAAGUUCUUCUCUGAGAAUAUAGGCACUGGAGGCAUUAGUCCCUGAGACUCUACUGUGGUCCCUAAGGAAUCAUAAGAUACACAUAGAUCAUAGGGAUUAGACAUAUUUGUCCUUGGGCACCAGACUAAUUUGUCUCUAAAAAGGAUCAUGGUCGAGUUUCACCGUUCUGGGAACUUAUGUGUCAGUACCUGUAUUAUCACAGAUGAUUUUGGGGGUUUAUUCUUUAAUAAUUUGAGGUUGUGCAAAACCACUGCCUUUUCACUCUCAGCAUGGGUGGCAUUAUCGUAUGCUUCUACUUUUGCAUGCAGCAUUGAGAACCCAAAGUUUUCUGCCAAGCCAUCUGAAGUUUUCCACCUUUUAGGUUUGUAUAAUAGCUGUGUCUAUUUUAUUAUAAAACAAUAAUUCAGUUAAAUUGGCCAAGCGAUGGUUAUUUCUUGAUGUGGAGAAAUCAUAGCUUAAUACAGUCAUGUUUACCUGCCUGUAGAUAAUGACAAGACUACCUGGAUGAAAUCCUCACCAGCACAAAGUCAAUUACCAAAUGGAGUUCCUACUUCUAGUAUAGCCACACAAGCUUUUGGUGGAACACAAAGGGUAAUGUCAUAUUCACCCACAAGGGCAAAUGCCUGGUGGUGCCAUGCUUGAUUGUAAACUUGUGAUUAUUAUUUACCUAUUCUUUUCGAGCUAUUUGCAUGAUUUUAAGAUUUAUUUCGUAAUCUUUAAGUAAGUUACAUGGUUAGCUCUUUAGUAAAAAGAUAAAGUGUGUUAAUUUUUAUGAUAUAGCAGUAAACAUUUCGUUGUUUGUGGUUGACUAUGUAUUUCCCUUAAAGUGUCUAUUCAUUGGGGCAGUAGUUAUUUUUGAGUUCACUGCAUCAUCAAUUCAAUCACUUUUAAUACUUCAACUGGCAUUCUGGUUUGGGGAUGUCUGGUCAUGUUCCACUUGCUUGGGAAUCAUGUGAGAAAUCUUUUCAACUUAGGUUUGUUAUUUCAAUUACUCUGUCAAGAAAUGAGAAAGGGUUUAUGCAUGUUGUGCUGUCGUAGCGCAACUGAUGCUGAUGGCAGUGGUAUUGUGAUUUUAAAGGCCAUGCUAGGGGUCAGGAAAUUAAGGGGGUUGAAGGUAGGCAUGAUGGGUCAGGAUGAUUUGCAAGUAGUGUAAUGGUAAUCAAGGAUUUAUUCCGUGUCUCCUAGGUGCUAUAAGAACGAAAGGGAAAUACUUAUAGGGGAAUGAAAGAGUAAGAAACUUAUUUUGGAUGCUUCGUCAACACAGAAUUUUAGACAGUGUCAAAUUGAGAGAAUAUCUAGUCAAGAAAAUGUCUUGGUUGUGUCAAAUUGAGAAAAUAGUCAAAGAAGAAUUUUGUUUUGAUAGUUUAGUUUCUACAAAAAAGGUGGCCCAAUGCACGUGUCUCCCACCCAGUAGGAUUCGUGGAGGAUAGAUGUACACUACCUUACCCUUGCAAGUGAGGACACUGUUUCAAUGAUUUGAAUAUGUUACCUGUUGAUCAAUAAAUAACAACCUUAUUGUUGUGUCGCGGCUCAACCUUUAUAUCACAUAGAAAAUUUUGUUUGGUGACAAAAAAAGCCAAUAGUUGGAGAUGGAGGGUGACAAAUAAAAACUAUGGAGAAAACCGUUAUAAUGAGCUGGAACUAAGUUGGCUACCUCAUGAUAUGAUUUAUGAUAGAAUAGAAGUUUGUUGUCUUAUGACCUUUUCCAUUUAGCUGACUGCACCUGGGGAAGGCUUUGAUUGCCAUUGUUAUAUAAAUUAAGAUUAAACGGAAAAUUAAUGUAGAAGCUAAAUUCAGUUUUUGCCCCUAGGCUUAUUGCAAUGCCCAAGCAAUAGAAUGGUAACUAAGCUGUGUAUUAAAUCAAUGUGUAAGACUAAGACCUAGGCAUUAAAGUAACAUCCAGUAAAAUUAGAGCAGCACAAAUUACCAGCAUUAGUUACCAAAGCUAUUGAUGAUUAGAAUACUAGUACUAGCAGUCCUCUAAAUAUAAAUUUUACAAAAAACUAUUGAUGAUUUCAAGCCUUUUAAAUAUAUAAAAAAAAAAUGACGAAGUUGGUGUAAAAGUUAGUCCAAAAUAUUGAGAUCAAUAAUCUAAAAGCUUCUGCUUCUGUAUCGUGUCUAUUAAGGGUUGAACAUCAUUUUUUGCUUAUCUGUUUGAUCUUAUUUAAUGACUUCUGAUGAAUAUGUGCUUCUCAUAUAAUAUAUUUAAACUGUAGGAAUAGGUAUGAUCGAAAAACACAUGUUGGACAGUUUAUCCAUAUAUUCAGUUGGCUUCAUUAAAACAUGCAUGGUGUAUUCUAGUGGCGGAAGUAAACCUCUACUGUAGAUUCAUUUGAAAGGAUUUAUUUUACUACUUUUAUAUGAUAAGGAUUUGGAUCAGUUUUUUGUGUUCUCAAAUAGUUUUACCAUAGAAAGUAAGUUUGUUCACAAAUAGUUUUACUACUGAAAGAGAUCUGUGAUGCUAUGGUGCUUAGUCUUUUGAAGGAAAAAAUAGCACUACUCGGGAUUUUGUAAUAGACCAUUCUUUAUAAGUGGACUUGAAAAAAACAUUUAACAGUGGGAAGUUCUUUUCCUCUUGAGCUUUCAAGAGUUGUCUACAAUUGGCUUGGAUUUUUUUAAAUUUGAAUUGUACUGCACACAAGAAUGUUAAAAUUAUCUAUCAAAUAGUGCACCAAAUAUUUGAAACUGUGAACAACGUUUUCUAGUUAGCCUUUUGCUUCAACACAAGUAUUCAAAGCAUUUAUUCAUGUUCCUUUUGUUUUCCUGAAGUAAAUUUCCUGUAAAAAUGUUGCUAAUGAGUAUUUAUCUGCAGAAUGCAUUGGAAGGUUCCAAAUCUUUGACAGCAUUCAGAUCAUUUGACAACCAAAAACGGCACGAGACAGUUCAGGUCCCUGCUCGCAGCAAAAGUGUGCUAUCCGCAUUCUUUGCCAAGCAGAAAACAGCAAAAUUAAGGGCAGGUUCUGUCUCAUGAAAACCACCCAACCCAAGGCAAUCCCACUUCCCCAUGCAAGCUUCUCUAAGGAUGUGGAGAUAUCAUUUUUCUUUAUUUUGGAUAAAAGAAGAUGGGGAUGUUACUUUCAUCUACUCAAAUGCUUAUUCUCUUGCCUUUAAUAUGUCUUCUCUGAAUGCUCAGAAUUAGUUAGUUUCAGGUUCAAGUCUUCGAAUAAUGACCGUGUAUAGUAGUUGGUAGCCUGAAAAUGAUAAUGACGGAGAUCUUGAUCUUUACAAACUGUGGUCUGCAAAGUUCAGGCACCUAUAAAAUGUAAAAUUCUGGUGUGCUAUGUAGAAAAGAUUUCAUUAACUUUCUUAUCCUUAAUGAGUGUUGAUGUAUUAGGAAAACUUUCCUAUAUGAGCUCUUAUUAUGAUGUCUUACUCCUUUUGAUCGACUAAUAAGAUUAUUGUCUGUGAUCUGCAGUGUUGAGGCACCUUUAAAAUGUAUAAUUCUGGUGUGCUAUGCAUAAAAGGUUUCAUUAACUUUCAUGUUCUUAAGAGUUUUGAUGCAAUGAUGUAAUAGCAAACCUUGUUCAGAUAGAUUAAUAAAUGAGUGUUUAAUAUUAUUAUGACUUUAAUUUGGGAUAAAAUAUUUCUACUAUAGGUGUGUUUAAUAUUACUAUGACUUUAAUUUGGGAUAAAACAUUUUUGCAUUAAAAAAGUGUGUGAUUGAAGGUAUAUAAUUAAAUAUUGCAUUUCUAAAAUAUAAGAGUCUGGAACAAAAUGAAAAUGGCAAAAGCAAAACAACCUUUAAGAAACAGAGGGAGCACAGAAUAAACUCUGUUCUUUUACCAUCUCUGUCUUUUCUCAAAAUCCCAAAACCUUUCAUCUCUGUUCAGGAAAAUAGAGUACAAUACUACAAUCAAUUUAUCAAUUUAUUCCCGUUUAAAUUAAGAUAAACAUUGUAAGGCAACUUAUCAGUCUAGAGACUAACAAGAUAAAGAUUGUAAGAAAUUUAUAUUCAAAAUGAAUGUAAUAAAUAGAAUAUAGUAUGCCUAACCCAAACAAAACACAUCACAUUAUUUAUCCUAAAAAAUGUUCUAAGUCAUGCUGAACUCUAUAAAAAAGAGACAGUCCUAAAACAAAGUCCUGUAAAUUAUGAACACUCCAUAGUGGCGCUAAAAGAUCCUGAUAUAGACACAAACCUUUCUGACACAGACCUCUCAAUGACACAAAUCCUAUGCAUUUUGGUUCAUACUUGUACAACUACGGCACCAUGAUUGAAGCUUGUUUAACUGGUUUCACUUACUUACUAUAAGCAUAUGGCUAUUAAUAUUACUUUGGAUUAUAUCCAUAGUAACAACUUUUGCUUAUAAAUUACAGUGUUGUGUAAGGGAAAGUGCAUGUAUAUAUAUAGAAAAUGACGUAUAUACUGACAAUGCAUAGAUAUUACAUUCAUAUAUACAUAAGUAUCCACCCAGGUAUAUAAUUUUUUGAUGAUUCGGUCCUGUCAUUUUAUUCUUCAUCCUCUUAUACUAGCACCCAUUAUAAUGAGAAGCUGAAUUUGCAGGGACGCACAAGUAUAAGAAACAAGUAACAAUAUUGAUAGGAAAAGAAUAAAAAUAAAAAUGCGUUUGCCGGGAGUCGAACCCGGGUCUAUUGCUUGGAAGGCAAUUAUCCUAACCGUUGGACUACAAACGCUGUUGUUGUUGAAUUCUUCGUACCCUUGAAUAUAUCUAUUUAUAUACGAUGGAAUGUUAAGGUAGAAUUCAACUUGCACAAAUGUGAUGAAAUGAAUAUUGUUUUUAUACAUUAAAUUUCGCAAAUUAAGUCAUUAUAUUUUAGCAUGGAGGUUUCAAAAGAUUGAUUAAAUAUAACUUGCUUAGAAGGAAACCCUCACUUUUAUUAACUGAAUUUCAUGAAUAAUAAUUGGGUUUAAAGAGUUAAGACUAAGAAUAAGAAGUUAAAAUAACUUAUUUGUUCUUAAAUGAGUUUGUUAUUUGAGAAUAUUCCUUCUAAUAUCAAACCUUUAUCAUUUGUCUAAGAACACACGUAAGAAAUAAUUAUAAAGUAGGAAUAAGUUCUUAAUAAGAAUACAUAAAAACAUCUCAUAUAGUAGUGUAUAGUGGUUGAACAUCCUUAAAAAUUUAAAACACCAUUGUGAAUGCUCUAAUGCUACUAUCUCUUAGAAUAUUAAGCAUUUAUUUUUAUGGCCAACUUUUUUUAAGACUAAUAUCCUCUGCUUAAGAGCAAGAUUAAUAAAAACACAAUUAAUUGAGUGAAGUGAGUUACAAUCCAAAACAUAAGACACUAAAGCAUGACUUGAGUAUCAAAAAUUAAAUAUUUUGGUGGUACGGCGCGAUCUUUUUUUAAUGGUAUAAUAUAUAUUUUAAGGAAUUUUUUUGGGUUAAGCAAGUGGUAGCGAAUGGUUAAAGUUAAACCAUCUCAUAUCCUUUAACUAUUUAUUAUAUUAUUUUAAAAACUCCUAAAUGAGUUCAUUUCCCACUUGUUUCCAUUACUAACAACCAUCUCACUCUAUUCAUUAAAAAAUAACUAAAGGAGUGGAGUACCCGCAACAAAAGUUUGAUAAAUUUAAUGAAAAAGUAGUUACAAGAAACAUGUUACAUGGUGCAAAAGGAGGAAUUGCAAAUAGACGUGGAAAUCCAGGAUACAAGUAAUCUGAGCUGAGUCGGAGAUGCAAUCCAACUCCUCUUUCAAAAUCUAACCCAUAUUUGUAUUUCUCAUAUUAGAUAGUCAACCAACAACUAAUGUGUAAGGCCCCACUAGUUCUUUAAGAUGAUAAAAAUAUUAAGAAUUCAAUUUCUAAUAGCGGCAUUUGUUGGGAGGGAAAUCACACACUCUAAAAGAUACCAAAAAAAUGAUGGAAAAUUUAACGCAAUAACAAUGAAAAAUUCUAAUAGAGUAUAUGCAGCGGAUAAUAAUUUUCUCAACUUCCUGAAUAUAUGAGGAGCAAUAACAAAUAAUGCUAGUAAUUAAGAACAUAAAAUAGACUUUUAACGUGGAAAACCUUCCCAAUAUGAGAAGUAAAAACCAUGGGCACAAUCUAGUCAAUCAAGCUUCAUUAUGAUCAAAAUAGGAAUACAAGAGUGUCUUUAAAACACAGCACAAAACAUGUUCAACAAUACGGCAGUACGGCUUACAACAGAGCAACAAGCUUGAAAUGUGAACAAAAGAGUUGCAAAAAAAGCAGAAAAAACAGCUGUUGUAACAACUCAUUUUCUACCACAUCAUAUGACUUUUCACCGAUCCAACUAUUCAGAAUGAAGUACCAGAAGUUGUGAACCUGCUGUCCAAAUUUCAGCCCGAUCCAACAGUGAAAGAAGACGCGAUCGCGGAUUUUCCACAACUCCUAUAAGUUCAUGUGGGUUGAGUUUUCUUAUAUUCUCUCACACUUUUCUAUUAUCUCCUUUUGCCUAAACCUGAUUGCACACACUUGUCUCAUCUGACCCCUAUCCAUUAGAUUAAGUGGGACAAGUGGACUUUGCCCAAUUGGGUCUUUCUCUAUAUAGGAAGAGAGCUCAAACCCAACAAAUCUCCCCUCACAACUAUGUGGAGAGAAUCGACAAACCGACGAUCUCACAACAAGAUUCAAACUUCCACCUUGAUAAGGCCUUAGUCAUCAUAUCAUCAUCAUCAUCAUUAUCAUAUGUAUGAACCUUAGCCAAUUCAAACAACCUAGCAUCCAAAGCAUUACACAUCCAGUGAAAAGAGCUCUGAUACCACUCUGAUGGAAAAUUCAACUCAAUAACAAUGAAAAACUCUAAUAGAGAUAUGCAGCGGAUAAUAAUUUCUCCAACUUGCUAAAAUCUAUGAGGAGCAAUAACAAAUAAUGGCAGUAAGUAAGAACAUAUAAGGAACUUGUAACGUAGAAAACUUUUCCGAUGUGAGAAGUAAAAACCACGGGCACAAGUCAGUCAAUCAAGCUUCACUAUGAUCAAAAUAAGAAUACAAGAGUAUCUCCAAAACACAAUACACAACAUGCUCAACAAUACGACAUAUAACAUAACAACAAGCUUGAAAAUGAGAACAAAAGAUUGUAGAGAAAAUAGCUAUUAUAACAACCUAUUUUCUACCACCUUGGAUGACUCUUCACCGAUCCAACCGUUCAGAAUGAAGUACCAAAAGUUGUAAACAUGCUUUCCAAAUUUUAGCCUGAUCUAGCGGUGAACAAAGACGCAGUCGUGAAUUUCUCACGGCUACUAUGAGUUCCGAGGGUUGAGUUUUCUUAUAUUCACUCUCACUUUUCUAUCGCCUCCUUUUGCCUAAACCUGAUUGCAUAUAUUUGCCUCAUCUGACCCCUAUCCAUUAGAUUAAGUGGGGCAAAUGAGCUUUUUUCAAUUGGGUCUUUCUCCAUAUAAGAAGGAAGCCCAAGCCCAAUACAAAAAUAUUAUAUAGUUUCAACUUUCAAAUGUGGUAGGAGUUAUGAAGCUAACUACCAAAGCCCUUGGAAUUCAACCACCAUUGUACAUAGAACAUGAAUCAAAUGUGAAGACGUGAUAAAUUAUUACAUGAUCAACCACUUAUGAUAUUAAUCUUAUCUUAACCAUUAAUUUGAAAUAAAUCUAUUUAAUUUUAAAUUAAUAAUGAUGAUGAUUUAAUUGGAAUCAAUUUUUUCAAUUGAUUAAAAAUCAACUAAUAAGUAUCUCUAUUAAUGGAUAGACAAAUACUAUAAAAAUAAAGGGAAAUGUAAUAUAAUAAAACAUUUAUUUUUAUAACACUUGUCUUUUCAUUAAUAGAGAUUAUUCUUAUUCCUUAUUAUAACAUGUAGUAAGUAGAGUUAAAAGGAACCAAACAAAUUUUAAGGCUAAUAUAAAACUUCUAUACAAUAUAACAUUGAUUAAAUAAUUAAAUAAUCGAACUAUUAAAAUUCAGGCUUCGAAAGGUUAUUAUAAGUUUCUGUCUUUAAUAAUUAUGUAGACUUCAUUUUUAUAUGCUAUGUAUAUUACUUUUUUUAUUGACUAAAAUUUAAUUGAGGUGGGUCAUGUGGACUCAUAAUGGUUCAAGGCUUUAUAAAUGCUUACAAAAUUAUUUGUAGAUUAUUUAUUAAUGAGAUUCUAAUGUCGACAGUAGCCAACUUAAAACUAUCACUUUUGGUUAAAAACUAGUUCCUUACAAAAUGACAUGUUAAUUACAUAUAAUUUUAUUUUACUAUUUUUAUUACGGUUUCUAAAAUCAUAAUCUGAGAGAAUAAAAAAUAAAUUAUUAUUUUUAAACCUAAAUUUUUUUAGUUGCCUUUACAUUUUUAAAAUUUUUAACUACCCUUUUUUGAAGGUUAAAACAAAAUGUUAGUUUCAUCCUUUAAAGAUAUUAAUGGUCACUAAGUCACUCUUCAAAAAAAUGUAGUUACCAAAUAAGUCUUGAGAUUAUGGUAUGCCAUUAUUAAAGUCACAAUCAUAUUUGUGUAGUUAAAAUGUAAAAAACUCUUGUUUCAUCUAUUGUUGGAAUGUGUUGAUCUUUGAUUUAGAUAAAUAGACUUAGAAGUCAGUUGCAGACUAAAGAAAGUGUUAGUAUUAUAUCCGCUCAUAAUAGACGAUAUUCUCAGUAUUCCCAUGAACUAUCUUAUAUUGUAUGGUUGUUUGAUUUAUUUAUUUAUGAGCAUGUUAUUUUUUUUUGCCUAAUAUUUUAUUUUGGUGUUACGUAUUAUUUUUAUUUUUUUAACACACUAAAGAAUCCCAAAUAGGAGAGAGUCUUGACAAAAUUGUUUGAAUCGUAUUAUAUUUUUUUUACAAGAUUGUUUGAAUCAUAUUAUAUUUUUUUUACAGGAUUGUAUCUCAUUUUACUGUAAUGUUUAUCUCUUUUGUUUUUUCUAUAUUUUCAUCUCGGUACCUUUGGAGUCUACUUAUAGUGGCUUCUAGGGGUCUUUUGGAUAGAGUCUAAGUACACAAAUUAAUGAUCUUUCUAUCUCCAACCUCCAAUUCUCGUAACAACUUAUUGCAACACUCUUAUCUUUAAUUUAAAAAGUGGCUACUUUCAUAUUUCUACUAUUCAUUAUUUUUAUUAUUUUUUAAUAUUCUUGCUUGUUUUGUUUAUUAUUUUUUAUUCAAAUAUUUUUAAGAGAUAAUUUUAGAUUUUAGAUUUUGGGCUUAAUAAAAUUAGGUUGAACUAUCAUUUUUUACUUGUUAUUGUUGGAACAUGGUUUGUUGAAAACCAUGAGUGAGAACUUUUGGGUGUGAAAUAUAAAAAACAUCAAAGUCCCACAUAGAAGAGUUUGAAAAAACAACUCUCAAAGUCCCACAUAGAAGAGUUUUGAAAAAAUAAAAAUUAAGCUCUCAAGUCCCACAUGGGAGAAAUGAGGAACAUGAGAAAAAUCUCAUGUUAUAAAUAGAGGUUUUCUCCCUUCAUUUUAACUUGCACUAAGUUGAAGGCGUUUCCUCUCAACUUUUCUUUCCCUCCAUAAUAUUCCGCCGAUGCAUUUCCGGCAAACUUCUCCCCCUUUCUUUCUGUGGCACUUAAGAAUUGGCACAGGCAGCCAAAGUGGGAUUUCAAGAACUGACACUGGUAGUCAGUAUUGUGGGAAGAGAAUUGGCACAGGCAGCCAAAGUGGGAUUUCGAGAACUGACACUGGUAGUUAGUAUUGUGGGAAGAGAAUUGGCACGGGUAGCCAUAUUGUGGAUUUCGAGAACUGACACGGGCAGUCAGUAUUGUGGGAAGAGAAUUAGCACGGGUAGGCAUAUUGUGGGAUUUCGAGAACUGACACUGGCAGUCAGUAUUGUGGGAAGAGAAUUGGCACGAGUAGCCAUAUUGUGGGAUUUCGAGAACUGACACUGGCAGUCAGUAUUGUGGGAAGAGAAUUGGCACGAGUAGCCAUAUUGUGGGAUUUCGAGAACUGACACUGGCAGUCAGUAUUGUGGGAAGAGAAUUGGCACGAGUAGCCAUAUUGUGGGAUUUCGAGAACUGACACUGGCAGUCAGUAUUGUGGGAAGAGAAUUGGCACGAGUAGCCAUAUUGUGGGAUUUCGAGAACUGACACUGGCAGUCAGUAUUGUGGGAAGAGAAUUGGCACGAGUAGCCAUAUUGUGGGAUUUCGAGAACUGACACUGGCAGUCAGUAUUGUGGGAAGAGAAUUGGCACGAGUAGCCAUAUUGUGGGAUUUCGAGAACUGACACUGGCAGUCAGUAUUGUGGGAAGAGAAUUGGCACGAGUAGCCAUAUUGUGGGAUUUCGAGAACUGACACUGGCAGUCAGUAUUGUGGGAAGAGAAUUGGCACGAUCAUUUACAUUAUCAUAUGUGUCUAUGUAGACGAUCUACUCAUAUUUGGUUCCAACAUUCAUGUUGUGAAUAAUGUGAAAUCAUUGUUGUGUAACAACUUUGAUAUGAAAGACCUUGGAGAGGCAAGUGUAAUCAUUGGUAUACAAAUUACUAGGUCAAAAGCAGGAAUUUCUUUGGAUCAAACUCACUAUGCGGAAAAGAUCCUAAAUAAAUAUAAAUACUUUGACUGUAAACCUGCUAGCACACCAUACGAUCCAAGUGUAAAACUUUUUAAGAACAUUAGUGAAGGUGUAAGACAAGUUGAAUAUGCUAGCAUCAUUGGCAGCCUUCGAUAUGCCACUGAUUGCACUAGACCCGGCAUUGCCUAUGUUGUGGGAUUAUUAUGCAGGUUUACCAGUAAACCAAGUAUGGAGCAUUGGCAUGCUAUUGAAAGGGUAAUGAGAUACCUUAAGAAAAUAAUGAACCUUGGGUUACAUUAUCGAAGGUUUCCAACUGUCCUAGAAGGAUUCAGUGAUGCUGAUUGGAACACUCUUUCAGAUGAUUCCAAAGNNNNNNNNNNNNNNNNNNNNNNNNNNNNNNNNNNNNNNNNNNNNNNNNNNNNNNNNNNNNNNNNNNNNNNNNNNNNNNNNNNNNNNNNNNNNNNNNNNNNCUGGUAGUCAGUAUUGUGGGUAAAGAAUUGGCACUGGUAGCCAUAUUGUGGGAUUUCGAAAACUGACACUGGUAGUCAGUAUUGUGGGAAGAGAAUUGGCACAGGCAGCCAAAGUGGGAUUUCGAGAACUGACACUGGUAGUCAGUAUUGUGGGAAGAGAAUUGGCACGGGUAGCCAUAUUGUGGGAUUUCGAGAACUGACAUUGACAGUCAGUAUUGUGGGAAGAGAAUUGGCACGAGUAGCCAUAUUGUGGGUAAUUUCGAGAAUUGGCACUGGUAGCCAUAUUGUGGUGGGUGUAUUCGAGAUCGGUUCUUACAGUGUAGUAAGAACUCGAUAACAGAGAUCUGGGCUGUUUUAUCCUAGGGACGACGUGGUUGAUAGUCUGCUUGCACAUUUUGGGCAAUGCCACGAAACGUCUUAAAGAGAGCGACCUGGUCGUGACUCAACCAGUAAGUAUUAUUUUGUGCCAUUUAGAAUUGAUGCAAGCUACGGUAACAAUAGUUAUUACGUAUACAAAAUAAACCAAUGUUUGAAUACUAUCGUGAUAAAUAAUUAGUAAAAAAAUAAAAGCUAAUUUUAUUAAGGUAAAGAGAAAUUUACCAAUUGGUUCAACAUUUGGAUGUGUAUAGUAAUUUGUAUUUCUCACUAAGUCUGAACUUGAGAACAUAUAACAAAUUAACAACACAGAACAUAGGUUAGGUAUAGUACCCAUAACUCGAAGAAGGAAUAAUAAAAUGUUAAGAAUGCAUGUUGUGUAUUCUUGGAACUUGAAAAAAAGACAAUAAAACAACAAGAAUAUAGGUCAGGUACUAAAUGAACUGGUAAGUCGAAUAAUAAACGCCAAGAUUCUUUUUUAUAUAUAUGGAAUGAUAAGGCUUCAAUAGUUUGAGUUUUAGCCUUUUAGGCGGAGUAAACUAUUGAACCACAAAAAAAAAUUUAUAAAUAAAAUUUGCGUCUUUCAUUUUUUGUUUUGUACUUUUGAAUUGAUUCUUAAUCCUUAUAGUCUCUUUUUCUCCAUAACAAAUAACAUAAAAUCAAAACUUUUAAGUGUGUAAACUUUGUGGAUCUAUUUUAUUGUUUUGAUUUUGGAAUGGAAAUUGAUUUUACAUUGGAAAAUUUAUGCUUUUGAAGAUGUGUUAAAAACCCAUCAGAUCAAAUAUUAUUGACUUAAUUCUUUCUAAUAAGCUAAUUCUUAUGUAAAAAAAAUUAACAGGUAAAGAUCGUACAUUUUUAAUCUAAUAAAUAGGAAUUCGAGUUUACUCUUGUACUUGUAGGGACCACAUCUUUUAUCUAUGAUAUUGUAUUAUUCCAUAUAUCAUGAAGUAUAAUUGGUUAAAAAAUAUUUAAUAAUUAAAUUUUUAAUUUAAAUAUAUUUUUUAAUUAAUUGUAACUAAUAACACAUGAAAUGUUACAAUGAGAAAGAAGGUGUGUGAAUAGCUAAUACCUAUAAUACUAAUAACAUAGAUAGGAUUGUUGAGACUUGACAUAAUGGUUAAUGCUUUUGUACGUUAUGAUAAUAUACAGAUUUGGUAACAUACAAAACAUUUAUGGAUCGAACAAGUUCCAAAGAGAUAGGAAUUAAAUGAUAACAUUAAAUUUGUUAUCUUGAACUCGAGGGAAUAAUGGAGCAACAAAGCCACUGAACUGGAUUGCCAAAACCAGAUCUCACUGUUCCUUCAAGGCCAAGGCAUAUAUAUGACUUUUUCAUGCGCAUAUUUAAUGUUUUUCCUAAACUAAUUUGGUUUUGCAUUAAAAGUUAUCAUCUAAAAUAUGUUUAGUAUACAAUUUUUUAUAUUUAAAAACUCUACUUUCUUCUUCUUAGGGAAGUUAGAUUAAUAAAACUAAAUCAAGUUAAAGGUUAAUUUAAUACGCUAUUUUCUUAAGUUUUUUAUAUUAUCAGUUGAGAAUGCAUCAAUCACAUGUAUGACUUUAGAAAAUAGAUUUUUGAUGUUAAAGACUACAAAUAAAACACUUUCCAUAGAAAUAUUAUAUAUCAUAUUUUCAUAAAAUAAGUACAAAAUUUCUUAGGAGAAAUGUGUCUUUCAAAAUAUAAACAUGAGAAAAACUACUAAGUACUAAUACAUACAUCCUAAUAACUAAUUAACUACUAAGUAGUUUGCAAGGUGUUUCUGAAUUUAUAAUAAUAUAUAAUAAUAAUAUAAAAUAAAUUCUGAAUUAGUUAACUAUUGAAAUUGAACUUAUAUUAUUUCAUGUUUCAAACAUACAUAGAUUCAACCUGAAAUACUUAAGUUAUUUAAUGUUUCCAUUUUUUCCUUCAAAUUGGAUUUCCAUUCAAAUUUAGUAGAUAAGUUUGAUAUCAUUUUUAAAGUAAAGGUUACUUUCUAUGACUUUUUCUAGAAUGUAAAGAAUAGUUUAUAGUAUAAUUAAAAAAUAAAAAAAUGCAAUAUUUAAUAAUUAAAAAAAUCAAAAAAUGUAAUUCAGAAUUUCAAAUAUAGAAAUGCUCUGGUUGAAAUUAUAAUUUAACAAAUAAAAAUAGAAAAGUAGAAAGUAGUUCCUAAAGAUUGCACUUGUCUCAUUUGCCACAGAGGUUCGAAUACUUGCGUGUAGGUGAUUUUAUUAACUAUAAUAACUAUAAUGCCACCGACCAGAUUCAUGAAAUCACCCUGAUCUAUUGAUGACAUUCAUAAUUAGUGUAUAUAAGUCGAAAUUAUUUUACAUAUAGUAACUUGUGUCAUUUUAGUAUGAGAAAAAUAUAUAUCUAUUAAUAAUAUAAAAAUUUGUUAUUAUGUCACAUUAUCUAUUAUAUUUAUGUUUAUUAACUUUUUAAUUAAAUAAUAUAAAUAAAUGAUAAAUGAGACAAAUAAUCAUAAUAUAUAUAUUACUCUCUUAAACUAUGUUUUAUAUCAUAAUGUACUCACACCGUUUUUGUUUUUUAAACGACUACACACCUAAACUUUAAUAUCAUCGAUUACACUUUUUAAGGGAUCAUUGUUAUACUCAACUAGUUUUUAGUCAGUGGAAUGGAAUGGAAUGGAUUCUAUUCCUAUUUAUACAUUUUCUAUUUUAAUUUUCCAAUACUUAAUAGUCAUAAUUUUAUAAGUGUUUUAUAAAUAAAUAUUUUUUAUUGAGUUGUAUUGUAACAUAAAAAUAAUUUUAUAAAACAAUAUAUUGAAUUGUAUUGUCAUUCAAGAUGAACUCAAAACAAUAGUAUUAGGGAUGAGCAAAAUCUGACCCAAUUCGUAGAUCCGACCUAACCUGUAGAUCUGUCUCAACCCCGAUGACUUAGGGACGAGUUUGACAUGUCUAAAUAAAUAAAAAAUGACAGACCCGAUUAAAAAGGAUAGACCCGUCGUCAAAAAAGGACGGGUUCAGAUCUAUGUUCGGGUCAAUCAACUUGUCCCUUAUAGUAUAUAUCAAGAAUAGAUAAAUAAGUACCUAUUAAUAUCACUUAUGUUUAGCCCACAUAACUCAAGUACCUACAAGUCCACACAACAUAUUCACAUCGCUUAUUGAUAGAAAACUAGUUAAUUUUUAGUUUUGUGAACUCCAACUUAAGUUUUAUUUUUCAGUUAAUAGCUAGUUAUUGUAUUCAUUUUUGUGUAAAAUUUUGAGUAUUGACAAGUUGUCAUUUUAGUUCUCAUGUGUUUUUUUAUCAUUUACAAGAACACUUCAGCUUAGGUUGACACUUUACAAUUUAAAUUGUUCUGAAAUUUUUCAAUGUCUUCUAUAACUUUCAGUCACGUGAUUGUGAUAGGUUUUAGUUUGAAUGAUGCAAUUUACGGUUUGUAGUGUACAUAUCAUGUAUGUAGUAUACAUGUUUUAGUUGAGUUUAUAUACAUAUUGUGAUAAUUUUGAUUGUACGUUCUUAAAGAUUUGAGAUAAAUAUAUGUUUGUCAUUUUGUCCUUUUUCAACCCGGACUCGUUCCUAUCUUGACUCGUCUUAUUUUGGACUUGUCCCUCAUGCAUCACAUCCUAAUUAGGGAUGAGUUCGAGUUCAAAAAUUGACCCGAUCCAUAUUUAGGGAUGGAUGAGUGACAUGCUUAACCCGUCCCAACCCGUCCUACGCUCAUCCCUAAAUAGUAUACCUACUUCACUUUUUUAAAAGAUGAAUUUUAAUAUGUUAGUAUUUUUUAAUGAAUGAUAUUUAAACUUUCAAUUUUCUAAUUGCUCUAUUCCAUAAACAUUUUACUCGAACCACGAGUCACUAAACUACUAGGGAUGACAACGGGUGCGGGCGAGCGCGUAUAGUACUUUCUCGUUCUCAAAUCCGCAAUAUUUGUGGGUACCCAUGCGAGUAGCAUUUUUUGGUACCCAACGAGUUUUUAAUUUUAAUUAUAUUUUUUAAUAAUUAAUAUGUAAAAAUAAUUAUUAUGUGAAUAAUAUGAUAUUUAUAUUAUAAAUUUAUGAUCAUAGUCAAAUAUGUGUAAUUUAUCAUGAAAUAAUAAUAAAGUAUAUGAUACAUAAUCUUAAAAUAAUAACAAAUAUAUAAAAAUUUAAUUAAAAACUAAAUACAUAAAUUCGCGGGUACCCGUAAUAAACCUAUAUGUAUAUUGUGCCCUGCUACUAAUCCUUUUGUAGGAAGAUUAAAACAUCAAACUAGGAUUGCAGGCAGAAAUUGAGGCAGGAAUUGCAGCAAGAAAUGAGUUUUAUGCAGAACAAGCACCAAACAGAAUGGCUAAAUUGCAAAUCACUCAUAUUACACAUUCAUCACAUUAAGCACGUGUUGAUAAUUCUUUUUCAACAUGUGAUCAUUGUUAGUUAUUCGGUUAUGAGUUGGUUAACCAGAUUCCUUCUUAUUCAAGCAACCUAGAGUUACCUAUAUAUAUGGUUGUAUUGAACCGAACUCUACAAUGAGAAAUAUACAAGUUUUCAAUCACUUCUCUAUUCUAUAAAAUUCUAUGUUUAAAGAAUUCCUUUAUGGUAUCAGAGCACUCAUUUUUUGAGUGCUCUGCUGUGAAACCAUUCUGCAAUAGUUGCCAAGAAAGCACCAAGAACCGAGAAAACAUCAAGACAUGGAAGCAAGCUCAGAGGCAACACACAACAUAUCACAAUUCGUUGAUCCUUCUUUAAAUCCUACAAACCCUUAUUACCUCCAUCCAGGUGACAACCCAGGAUUCAUCUUGGUAUCACCUCCUUUAGAUGGCAGAAAUUACUCUUCAUGGAGCAGAUCAAUGAAGAGGGCUCUAAUGUCCAAAAACAAGUUCAAAUUCGUUAAUAGAACAAUAGGAGUACCACAACAAACUGAGACAACCUUUGACUCUUGGGAGAGAUGUAAUACCAUGAUUGUAUCAUGGAUAACAAGGUCACUAACCCAACAAAUUGCCCAAAACAUCGUUUACAUAGACAAUGCACAAUAUUUGUGGGAAGAUCUGAAGGAAAUAUUUUCUAAGGGUGACCAUUUCAGAACCUCAGACCUCUUACAAGAAAUCCAUUCUAUGAGGCAAGGUGAUAAAACUGUUUCUGUUUUUCAUACUGAUAUGAAGACCUUGUAGGAUGAUCUUGGUACCUUUGAGGGCAAUUUCAAAUCUGUCAUGCAGCAAUGGUUCAAACUGCCCUCUCUUGAAACUAAUGAAAGAAUACAGAGAAUCUGAGUCUGUUAUGUGUUUCCUUAAGGGACUCAAUGAUUCCUAUAACACUGUGAAGACUCAGAUUCUACUGAUGGAACCCCUGCCAUCAAUCAACAAAGUCUUCUCCUUAGUUCUCCAACAAGAAAGGCAACAAGAAGACACACCAAAUGGUGAAGGGAAGGGGAUUGUAAACUCUGUAAAUGCAAACCAAGCUUGGAGACCAACAUUCAACAAGAAUUCAGGCAAGAAUAUCAUUGAAACAUCCAAUAAAGGCACACGAAGAUUUAGUAGAGGAGGAAGUACAAGAAAUUAUACACGAACCUAUCAAACAAACAAACAAAAAAAUCUGUGCUUUCUGUGGGAAGGAUGGGCAUACAGCUGAGACAUGCUACUUCAAGCAUGGAUUUCCACCAAACUUUAAGUUCAAGUCCAAGAAUGCCACCGGUGGAUCCAUCAACACUAUUACUUCCAUUCCAACAGACAACAAGAACAACCAGAUGCAAGAGACAAGGGUGGAUGGUGAUGGACCAGCAAGCCAAGUUAGACAAUUAACCAUUGAUCAUGAACACAACAUCAACCACCUCAGCCAAGAACCAAGUGAUGAUCAUCCAAUCUCAGGUAACAUCCUAAAACAACAAUCUUGGAUCCUUGCUAGUGGUGCAACCAUUUAUGUCACUAAUGAUCUAUCCAACUUUGCAUGCUAUAAACAUGUUAAAUCUAUAUAUGUUAAAUUGCCUAACAAUAUGACAAUUAUUACUAAACAUUUUGGUACUGUUAGAUUGUCUAACUCUCUAAGCCUGUUUAACACCUUGUAUACCCCUGGAUUCAAAUACAAUAUUGUCUCCAUUCAUAAGCUUGCCACUUCACUUCAAUGCAAGCUUGUGUUUGACAAUUGCUCUUAUAUAAUCCAGGAUAUGACUACCUCGAGGAUGAUUGGUUAUGCUGAAGUCACCAACAAUCUCUACAUCCUCACCAAGAAUGGGAAGUCAUUGACCUAUGCCUUAGAUCAAAUCAAUCAAUUACACAACAAUAAAUCUAACAAUUUUGAUCUAUGACACUUUAGACUAGGACACCCAUCACAAGAUGUCCUCAAUAACAUUCAUAAACAGUUUUCAUAUGUUAAGUUUGACCAAAAUAUUGUUUGUGAUUUUUUCUAUCUUGCUAAGCAAUCAAAGUUACCUUUUCCUUCUAGCAAUACUUGUACCGCUCAAUAUUUUAAUCUUGUCCAUGUGGACAUUUGGGGGCCUUUUGGCACCUCAACUUUGCAUGGACACAAAUACUUUCUUACAAUUGUUGAUGAUUUUACUAGAUAUACUUGGGUUUUCCUCAUGUAUGCUAAAACUGAAACCAGGUCCCUUAUUCAGAACUUCAUACAAAUGACUUUAGUUCAAUAUGACAGAAGGGUUAAGAUAAUUCGUAGUGAUAAUGGCUCUGAAUUUAACAUGCCUACUCUAUACAACCAAUUAGGCAUUAUACAUCAAACUUCAUGUGUUGAAACACCACAACAGAAUUCCACAGUAGAAAGAAAGCAUAGGCACAUCCUAAACAUUGUUAGGUCUAUUCUUUUCCAGUCCAAUUUUCCUAAAUCCUUUUGGGGCUAUGUUAUUACUCAUGUUGUUCAUAUCAUGAACAUGUUGCCUACUCCUGUCUUGGAUAACGAAUCCCCUCAUGAACUUUUCUUUGGCACCACUCCUGAUCUCAACUCAUUAAGAGUCUUUGGUAGCUUAUGUUUUGCCACAACUCUUGUUAACCACAGAAACAAGCUUGAUCCUAGAUCCAGGAAAUGCAUCUUCAUUGGCUUUAAAAAUGGCACCAAAGGUUUUCUUCUCUGUGACCUAAACACAAGAGAAAUUUUCCUCUCUAGACAGGUUAGAUUUCAGGAACAUAUUUUCCCUUACCAAUGCCGAAAUAAGGAGACCAACCUAGAACCUAUAAACCACACCAUUAACCCUGCACAUUACCUUGAUGACCACUCUAUGCCUAUCCCCUGCACCAUUCAACAACAAUUUCCUUGUCCCAAUCCUUUAACCCCUGUAGACAUCCUACCUGCUAGUAACCAAACACAAAUUUCCAACUCAACACCACAACUUAGAAGAUCACAGAGAACUCAUUGCCCACCUACAUACCUUAAAGACUUCCACUACAACAUAUUAGCCACCAUCCUAUUACCACUUCACACAAACUUAAACAUCAUCUUGAGUCUGUCCUUUCCUACCACACUCUAUCUCAUAACCACUUACAUCAUUGCCUAUCCUUUACUACCAAAUAUGAACCCAAAACAUACAAACAAGCCAUCCAGUCUGAGGCAUAAACUAAAAUUUAACUCUAAUGGUAAGAAAGCCAUUGGUUCUAAAUAGGUCUAUAAACUAAAAUUUAACUCUAAUGGGUCUAUAGAGAGGCAUAAAGCUAGGCUUGUGGCCAAAGGCUUCAACCAAACCGAAGGUUUCGAUUACAAUGAGACCUUUGCACCAGUGGUGAAACUCACCACCAUUAGGCUUCUAUUAGCUAUUGCUGCCACACAGAAUUGGACAUUGCAACAAUUGGAUGUCAAUAAUGCGUUUUUACACGGUGACCUCAAUGAAGAUGUAUACAUGACUCUUCCUCAAGGGGUUACAUCCACCAUACCUAACCUUGUUUGCAAAUUAAACAAAUCCCUUUAUGGAUUAAAAUAAGCAAGUAGGCAGUGGUUUACUAAAUUAUCCACUGCCCUGCUAUCCUUGGGUUACACUCAAUCCCACCAUGAUCAUUCCCUCUUCACCAAGAAACAUUCCUCAAGUUACACUGCUCUGCUCAUAUAUGUAGAUAACCUCAUUUUAGCAGGCAACAACGUCCAUGAAAUAAAUCAUGUCAAACAAUAUCUGGAUGAUAAAUUCAAGAUCAAGGACUUAGGUAACCUUAAGUACUUCCUUGGCCUAGAAGUUUCAAGAUCCAAGCUAGGCAUCAAUCUAUGCCAAAGAAAAUAUUCCUUAGACCUUCUUAAUGAUACUGGUUACUUAGCCUCUAAACUUGUGCCUACUCCAAUGAUCAAAACUACACCACUGCACCAAAAUGGUAGCACCCCCUUUCAUGACCCAAUGCUCUACGGGAAACUCGUAGGGAGGCUUUUGUAUUUAACAAACACACGCCCUGAUAUCAGUUUUGCAACACAACAAUUGAGCCAAUUUAUGGCUAAUCCUACUACCAAUCAUUACAAUGCCAUCAUAAGAGUUCUGCGUUACUUAAAGGGUAGUCCUGGUCAGGGCCUUUUCUACCCUACCAGUUCCACAAUUCAACUCAAGGGCUUCACUGAUUCUAAUUGGGCUACAUGCCCAGAUACUCGUAAAUCAGUUUUAGGCUAUUAUAUGUUCUUAGGGGACUCCUUAGUUUCUUGGAAAUCCAAGAAACAAACUAUUGUUUCACGUUCAUCAUCCGAAGCAGAGUAUCGUGCCUUAGUUUUGGCUUAUUGUGAGGUACAAUGACUAACCUAUCUAUUACUUGAUUUCCAAGUUCCUUUCAUACAACCUGCUCUUCUAUAUUGUGAUAGCAACUCAGCUCGUUAUAUUGCAGCAAAUUCAGUAUUCCAUGAAUGUACGAAACACAUUGAAAUUGAUUGUCACGUUGCUCGUGAAUGUUUACAAAACAAACUUUAUCACUUACUCCUUAUUCAUACAACACAACAAGUGACUGACAUUUUUACAAAGGCGUUAGAAACAUCUAUUUUCACCCACUUGUUGUCCAAGCUGGGAGUAUUAAACUUAUACUCUCCAGCUUAAGGAGGGUGAUAAACCUAUAUGUAUAUUUUGCCCUGCUACUAAUCCUUUUGCAGGAAGAUUAAAACAUCAAACUAAGAUUGCAGGUAGAAAUUGAGGCAGGAAUUGCAGCAGGGAAUGAGUUUUAUGCAGAACAAGCACCAAGCAGAGUGGCUAUAUUGCAGAUCACUCAUAUUACACAUUCAUCACAUUAAGCAAGUGUUGAUAAUUCUUUUUCAACAUGUGAUCAUUGUUAGUUAUUCGGUUAUGAGUUGGUUAACCAGAUUCCUUCUUAUUCAAGCAACCUAGAGCUACCUAUAUAUAUGGUUGUAUUGAGCUGAAUUAUAAUAUUGAGAAAUAUACAAGUUUUCAAUCUCUUUACUAUUCUAUUAAAUUCUAUGUUGAAAAAAUUCCUUUAACCCGUGAGGUGGGUAUCACAAAUCCGCUCCUACCCAUAAGCUAUUAUUGCGGGUACUCAUUGCGUGUAUUUUCACAGGUACUCACGAGUUAGACUUUUUUGUCAUCUCUAUAAACUACCUUAUGAGUUAUAUAACUCCUAUAUCUCUACUAGUAGCUAUGUCAAUGCCAUAGAUUUGUUAUUUUUUUAUAUCUUAAAAGGAUAAAAAAGCAACAAUGGAAGAAUAAAAUAUCCCCUAAAAUUAACAAACUCCAAAGCAUCAACUAUAAACUACCAUUUCCUUUGAAGGAUUGCUCCUAAAGUUUUUCAACUCCUCUAACUCCCUAUUUAGCUAACCAACACAAUAUACCAGUCCUGCUUAAUAAUCAUUGUGAUAAUAUCUACACUGCCAACAUAGCAAUGAAACUUAGUUGGCUCUAUUCUCAUCCGAGAAUCAGAAUGGCAAAUAAAAAACAUUACUACAUAUUUUACUUACAGCAACGCCUUAGAUUAUCACAAUUAUAAAAUUAUGGUUUAUGAUAAGGACAACAAUUUUAAUGAAUGUAGCAAUGAUUUCUAGCAGUUGCGUGAGUAAAAACUAUUACCGUGAAACAUAACCCCAUGACUUCAAGCUAAAGAGAAAAUAUCCAUCCGUGUUCAAAAUUUUCAAAUUUAAUUAUAUUUUUUAUUAAUAGAAUAUGAUUAUGCAGGUGUGUUAUUAGAUCUUUAUGGAACAACAAGUACAUAAUAUCGUUCAAGUAAUAAAAUUCGGUAAAAUAUUGGGAUAUCGUCCUUAGGGAAUAAAUUAGAUUUACACUAAUUCCUAUAAGAAUGAAUUGAGUAUAUAUUUAAAGUGGUGUUUUUAUAAAAUUUUGUAUUUGGUUGUGAAAAAUCAUAAAUUGAACGAAAAACAAGUAAAGUAAACUGAGAUCGAAAUGUAUCGUUAUUUCUCAUUGACAUUCAUGGAUUCAAUUCCAAAUGACUUGUGAAGUUACUGAUUCAGAUGCAUAUAUCAUUAAUUAUUUGACCAAUUAAUUAGCAUUAAGUUUCAUGUAAAAACAAUUUAUGCAUCAUUCUCCAUUCCUAGAGCAAUGAUGUAUGAACGAAGAUGAUCUAGGUUCGGUGUCAAGUUUAACUUCUCAAUUAAACGUGAACCCAAGAACAAGAAAUUAGUAGCAAAGUAAAUUCAUGCAUUAAGAACAGGAUGAAGUUCCCAAAAUUAAAUAACAAUUACAAUUAAAUCGAAUUCAGAAGUACAAAGGUUAGAAGAUUACAUUUCGAAUCCCAAAACAAGAUCUAAUCAUUCAUUCUCGCUAUUACAACACUCGAAUAAUUAAAUUAUACAAGGAAUAAUGCGAAGUAGUAUCAUUUCCACAAUUUCUAUCCUAAUCUCCCUGUGUUUCUCUCUAUUUCCGUGCCAAAUAUCUUCUGAAAAGUGAAUGGGAUCCAUUUCUGACUUCCGAAACCGCUAAUAUCAGUUCCAACUUCCAAACUUUCGCUGAAGCUAGAGAUUCUCGCUUGGGCGAAUAAAUAAGAGGCUUUCAGACCUUAGUACCUCGCUUGGGCGAGACAUCCCUCGCUUGGGCGAGGAUCAUUCGCUUAAGCGAUGAUCAGGCAGGAUAUCAGGACCUUUUUAGCUCCAAUUGUAGCUUGGGCAAGGGACAACAGUGAUUUCUAGUGAUUUUUCUCCUAUUUGUGGCUUGGGCGACCCUCUCCUCAAUUGGGCGAGACUUGCGGUGCUCAGAAGUACCAAUCUUCUCCUUUUUCUCCUUUUUUUUUUCUUAAAUCUUAUCCUGAAACAACAUAAAUACAUAAAUUUCAUACACAAAACAAGAUUAUUAAGUUAUCAGAAAUCUUACACAGUUACAGCAUAAAUACGAUGCUCCAAAAGCAUAUGAAUUUCCUUAACAAUUUAGCACUUAACAUUUGUUUAAAGAAAAUAUAAAAAUACAUGAGAAAAUAUUAAGACAUGUGACCUUCUUUACAAGUCAAAACAUAAGCUCCAUGCUGAACUGAAGCCGUGAGGAGAGGGACAUGUUUGUUUGUAAUUGAAGCACGGUCCGUCAACUACAGCCACUCCAAUUUAUUGAAAUAAUAAUAGAAAUUGAAGAGUGAAAAGAGAAAAUGGUGAGUUAUGAAGUUUAUUCAGUAACAAAUGAUUAGUUGCACAUUGAAAAUGGGUAGAGUUAUUUAAUUUAUUGAAAAAUGUAUACUUUAAAGUUGUAGCAGCAUAUAUGAAUAUAAAUUGUGGGAUGAUAGAUCUAGCAGCAUGCACGACAAAAGCUGCAAUGAGCUAAGGCUUGUAGCAGCCCGCAUUGAAAUAGGAUAUGAUGCUAAAUUUAAAUAGAAAAUACAGUAUAUGAAUAAUACAAAAUUACACGGUUGCUAUCUAUACUAAUAGAUAAAAGAAAAACAUAAAAUAAUUUCUAUGGAGUAAUUUAUGUUUUUUAUUUUACUAUUUAUAAUUUUAAUUUUAUGUUUCUAAAUAUUAUAUAUCUCUUAAUAUAAAUUAUUGUUUUCUUUUUAAUUAUCACAUCAAUUCUUAAACCUCCCAUUUUUAAAUUGAUGUGGUUUUUGCAAUGGAUAAGUGAAUUAUAUAUAUAUAUAUAUAUACUAAUAGAUAAAAGGAAAACAUAAAAUAAAUUUUAUGAAGUAAUUUAUGUUUUCUAUUUUACCCUUUAGAAUUAUAAUUUCAUGUUUCUAAAUAUUAUAUAUAUAUAUCUUAAUUUACUAAUAGAUAAAGGAAAACAUAAAAUAACUUCCAUGGAGUAAUUUAUGUUUCAUAUUUUACCCUUUAUAAUUCUAAUUUCAUGUUUCUAAAUAUUAUAUUUCUCUUAACGUAAACUAAUGUUUCUUUUUAACGGUCACAUCAAUUCUUAAACCUUCCAUUUCCAAACUAAUGUGCUUUUUUCAAUAAAUAACCGAAUUAUAUUGAUUAUGACAUAAAAUAUGAAACAUGGAUAAAUUACUUAGCAUGAUAGUUUACUUUCAUUUUUAACUUCCAACAUAUAUCCUAUGAUAGUUUUCUUAAAUAAUAUAACAUGAAGAUGAUAUAUUCUAUAUCAGAAAAAAUAAGAAUGCAAGUGACCGACAUAAAGUGUCAGUCAACACGCUAGUUUAUAUAAAAUCAAUAUAUCAUUUUUAUUUUAUUGGUAUUAAUUAUGUUUUAAUAUGCAUGAAAAAUAUGAAAGGUAAAAGCUAUAAUACAUAUACAUGAUUCGGAUAUUUUUAUCAUCAUAGUUGGAAUUAUAUUAUUAUCUUAUAAAAUGUUUCACUAUAUAUUAUACGAUGGGUUAAAAAUAUAUUUAACGAUAAGAAUUUAAUAAUUAUAUAAUUUUCUAAUUAGUUACAAUAAAUGAUACACUUUUUAAUAUUGAGCAUGUGCUCGCCCAGUACCAUCCAUUCUCAUGUAAAAGCAGUAACAUCACGUGCUAUACCACGCGUGUAAUGCACAUAGAGGUUAUCGAUAACAGCACAUUACCUUUUCGGACAAGGAAAAUUAAAAUAAAUUUUGGACCAUUUUUAACUUUUCCUUAUUUUUUUGUCGCUUAGAUUUUUUUUGUUUCCGAGUCCUUUGCUCUCAAAACUUUGUUUCAUUUGUUCAACGCCAAAGCUCAUUUUAUUGUCCUUCAGUGAAAAAAAUUCAUUUAUAUUACUUAAACAGCUACUCAACUCUGACAACACUCUUUCACAAUAACAAUCACCUAAAUCUACAUCAAACAAAAACACCUUCCAUUCUUCAAAGGUCAAUUUUAUUGAAUUCAAAUAUCAAAGUUUGAGUUUUUUUAACUUUUUUAGCUCCCUUGAGCUAUUUCCCUGAACCCCAUUAGAUUUUUCUCAUCUGGGUAUUCUUCUUUGCAUGUGUUUUAAGUCAAAGUUUGAAGCUUUAUCCUAAUCCAAAGUUCCCCAAUUUGAUGGAACUCUAAAAAUGGGUUCUUCGGAAUCUAUGAUCCCAUCAAAGAAAGGGAGCUUAUUUGGUUCUCAACCAAGUAGAAAAGAGAAGCACCCUUUUUCACAGAGGUUCAGAUCCAGCUUCUCACGUUUGAUGUUCAAGAAACUUGAUUACAUUCAAUGGAUUUGCACUGUGGUAGUGUUUUUGUGUUUGGUUGUUGUUUUCCAAAUGUUCUUGCCUAUUUCUGUUGUGGAAAAGUCAGGGAAUUCAUUCAGAGCUGUGAGGAUGCGUUCUGGUAAUGUGUCAUACUAUAAGGACUUUAAGAAUUAUGUGUUUGACAUUGAGAAUUAUGCUUUGGACAUUGGGGAGGAUGCUAUUUUUGUUCCGAAGAUUUCGGAGAAAAUUCGUAGGAAGGAUGUUGGUAGGGACAUGAAUUUGUUGAACCAGACAGUACUGCAUUUUGGGUAUAGGAAGCCUCAGCUGGCACUGGUUAGUUCACCUAAUUUUCUCUGGUGAAAUUGAUACACUUCUAUUGUAUUGGUGUUUAUUUGCAAAGUUUCUUCAUGUUCAUUGUGAGCAUAAUUAAUGCGUGUGCUUGAGUAAACAACUUAAUUAAGUGCUUAUUCUAUAUUCACUCAUCUCAUGAGAGCUUAAGCUUUAUUGAGAUACGCUAAAAGGACCUUGUAGUAAGUUCAUAAACUCUUCCAAAGACAUGUUGAAGUACUUAUAUAAUGAGUCCAAAUAAGCUUUUUAUAGGCUCUUCCAAAUGCCCCCUUCAAUUAGAUGCAAGUUUUUUAGGUUAAGCAUAUAGUCCAGCAUAAACUAUUUUUAAUGGUAAAAAUGGUUCAGAUUUUGCACAAAUUUAGGACUGUUUAAGUGAAAAUGAAGUUUGUUAUUAAUUAAAAUUUUAAAUCCUCUGACAUCUUCCUUGUUAUCGAUAUAUAUUGUUUUAUUCAUUUAUCUCUUUAUAUUGAAUAGAUAUAUUAUUUUGAUUUCUUUUGAAGGUAUUUGGAGAACUGUUGGUUGAUUCACAAGCAUUGCUUAUGGCAACAAUUGCAGCUGCUUUGCUAGAGAUUGGCUAUGGAAUCCAGGUACUCUAGCUAAAUUUUUUCCCGCUCUUAUGCUGAAAAAUAUUGUUCUUAAAAAUAAAAUAAAAGGGGAUUUAGCUAACUGAUCAAUGUCUCUGUAUGAUAUGCAAUAGUGUCAGAAUGCAUAUUUUAUAUUAUGGUACUGUUUUUUGGACGAGAUUGAAAAUAGAGGCAAACAGGAAUUUUGAAUUUUAAUGCCAAAUCCAGUCUCCCUCUAUUUUAUGCAUGCUUACUGUAUAUUAGUUUCAAAGACCACAUUGGGUAAGCGAGGGUACUUUUACCAGAUGUUCAUAUCCAGUAUCAUGCUAGACAAGGCUCAGUGCACAAGGCAGCCCAGUGCACAAGGCUCACAUUUAGUGGGGUCUGGGGAGGGUAGAUGUAAGCAGCCUUACCCCACAAGCAGCAAGACUUUUUGCAGGAUUCGAACCUGUGAUCUCAUGGUCACUAAACAUCCACCUUACCGUUUCACCAAGCUCACAAAGUAUCAUGCUAGACGAGUGUUUUUAAAAUUGAAGCAGGGUUUUGCAUUUAAGGAAGUAUAUAUUUGAAGUCCUUAAGAAUAUGUUGACUUGUCAUAGUGUCUCUAAAGAAUACGUAAGAAUUUAUUCACCUCCUCACCAUUUUCAACAUAGAUUAUUAUAGUUCAAGUUUUUCCUAUGUUUUGCAGGUCUUUUCAAUUGAAGAUGGACCAGUGCGUAAUGUGUGGAUAAGUUUAAAAGUUCCGGUCACUGUCAUUCAAACUUGCGGCAAGGCAGACGGUGCUGUAGACUGGCUAAAGUAUAUUGUUAUUCUAAUGUUUAAGCUGUCUUCAAGUUUUAUAUAGCUGACAUGAGCUUUAAGUUGUGGUUGAUGCUCCUUGCCUCCUUGUAUCUGCCGUAGUUCAACAAUCCACUGAAUUAACUACAUAUUGGAAAAUAACAGCCAAAUAAUGUCUUGUUUUAUAUGCCAGAUUAUAAUACUGUUUCCUUGAUUAAUCCUUUAUAUCUAUAUAUCUGUUUUCAUUUUGUGUACAAGAAUGUCGCUUGAUUCUCUUAAUCAUCACUUCUAGUUUUCUAGCCUCAGAGAGAUAUGUAUUAAUUCCUUUUUUGAAUAUUAAAGCUAGGAUAGUGUAAUUAUUCUUGCAUUAGCAUAUCCCAGAUUCACUUGGGCUUGUUUCGUAAUGUGUUACUAACAGAGAAAACCCUACCGUUUUGGUUGGAUGACUGAAUUAUGUUUGCAUCUGAUAAGAAUGCCUGUGUUUUGCAGCUACGACGGUAUAAUUGUGAGCUCUCUUGAAGCCAAGGGUGCCUUUUCUUGGUAAGAUACGUAUAUUAAUUUCUAAAGGAGAAGAUUCUAAAUAUGGUUGUUACCUGAAUUAUUUAAUGACUUCACACUCCUUAAUAUUUCUUCAAAGGAACGACCUCUGGUAGUUGUCUGAUAUGUUUUCUUCCCACUUUAAUGAUAUUAAAUAUUAUUUAUUGUUGAUCAUAUAUAAAAAUUAAUGCUGAAGUUUUUAUUUCUACCGGUCACAACAAACCUUACCUAUUCUAAUGUUUUUUUUUUCCUUCUGUGCCUGGAAAUUUUCCAUUAACACAAAAACUGAAUUUGGUCUUUUAGAUUCAAACUUCAGAGUUCAGAGUACCCUGUACAUGCAUCUUUAUCACUGCAAUAUAAACAUGAUUGCUACAACUUUUCGUUCUUGUGGUGGGUUGUAUAUUCUGACCUGUGUUAACUUAUUUGCCAAACAUUGUCUCAAAGUUGAUGUUCAUAACAUACAAAUGAUGCAAUCUACAGUAUGGAGAAUGGGAUAUUUCACUCAUUGUGACUUUAUCAUGCAAUCGCAAUAUCCUUAAUCAAAUAACAUGAAUGAUUUUAUUUGUUGCAGUUUUUUGCAGGAACCUUUCAAGUCUAUACCUCUCAUAUGGAUCAUUCAUGAAAAUUCUCUUGCUUAUCGUUCAAAGCAAUAUACGGCUAGUGGGAAGACUGGACUUUUGAAUGAUUGGAGAAGAUCCUUCAACCGUUCAACAGUUGUUGUCUUUCCAAACUAUGCCUUGCCGGUAAUAUUAUGGGACAUAGUAUCUUUUAUUUAUUUGAUGCAUGGGCAUCAUACCUAGGGCCUCUACUCAAACCUCACUCACCUAACUGCCUGAUAAGCUAAACUUUAGCCUAGACAUUGGUACAAGUUUAUUUCUUUUGUACUUACUGGGCAAAGACCCCACUUGGUGGGAUAAAAGCUUGGUUGUUGUUGUAAUGGGCAACGACAUUUUCAUGUAAUCACACAUUCCAUUAGUUCAUAUAAUCUGCUUUGUUGAUAUUCACGGUUAUUUCACUAUUAACCACUUCAUCAAAAGAUGUAAAUAAGUUUCAUAUUGGACACUGUCAUUAUUUUAUAUCUAUGGUGUAAACAUUAUAGUUAUAAACUUAUAAUUAUAAUUAUUACUGUAACUAUUAAUUAGCAUCAAGAUAAUUUGCCUACUGUAUCAUUUUGGGACUAAUUAGUAAUUGAUAACUAUUGUUUUUUUUAUGUAAAUCCACAGAUGAUUUACUCCACUUUUGAUGCUGGAAAUUUUUAUGUCAUUCCUGGUUCCCCUGCUGAAUCAUUAGACGCAGAUGCAUUUAUGGCCAUACAAAAACAUGAUUUGCGCAUCAGAAUGGGCCAUGGACGAGAAGAUUUGGUUGUUGCAAUUGUUGGAAGUCAGUUUUUGUACAAGGGCAUGUGGUUGGGGCAUGCCAUUGUUUUGCAGGCUUUAUCACCACUUCUAGCAGACUUCCCAUCAGGCAAAGAUAAUUCCAGUGCACAACUACGAAUCAUUGUUCAUAGUGGAGAAUUAACAAAUAACUACAGUGUCGCUCUUGAGGUAUAUAUCGCUAUAUCUUUUCUUCUUUGUUUGUGGAUAAAUAGUUUGAAGUUUCUUAUAUUUGUAUUCUAUUUGGUUAGACCAUGGCUCAUAGCUUGAAAUAUCCAAGAGGUAUUAUCGAGCACAUAGCUGGAGAUUUGAAUACAAAUUCUGUUCUUGCAACAGCGGAUGUUGUAAUAUAUGGAUCCCUCCUUGAAGAGCAGUCUUUUCCAGAUAUUUUGACGAAAGCCAUGUGUUUUGAGAAACCAAUUGUUGCUCCAGAUAUUCCCAUGAUCAGAAAAUAUGUAUGGCAUUUACAUUAACUUCCAAUUUCCAAACAUCUAAGAUGUUAUUACUAUUUUUAAUAUGCAAAUUGAGUUGAAGAUUUUUUCUUGCCAUGUUUUUCUAAAAUGUUUUGUCAACAUCAACUAGGUUGAUGACAGGGUGAAUGGCUACCUUUUCCCGAAGGACAGUAGUAGACUUCUGAGACAAAUUGUAUCGGAAGUGAUAUCAAACGGGAAAAUAUCACCACAGGCUCGUCACAUUGCCUCAAUAGGGAGAAGCACUGCAAAGAACCUUAUGGUUUCAGAAGCAAUUGAGGAAUAUGCAUCCUUAAUUCAGAAUAUUCUUCGGUUUCCAUCAGAGGUUGUUCCUCCUAAGGCUGUUUCAGAAAUAUCCCCCAAUAUAAAAGAACAAUGGCAGUGGCAUUUGUUUGAAGCAGAUCCAAAAUUAACAUAUGAAAAUAAGACAACAAGAAGUCACACUUUUUUAGAUAAAUAUGAGGACAAGUGGAAUCUUUCUCAAAAUAAUAGAUCCACUAUUAUUGUUUCAUCUAAUGAUUCAUUUGUAUAUAGCAUAUGGGAAGAAGAGAAAUUAAUUCAGAUGGCUAUCACAACAAAAAGGAGAGAGGAUGAAGAGGUAAGAUUAGGGGUUGUUCUAAUUUAUGGAAUUAGGGCAUCGAGUUUCUCUUGACUUCCAUUUGCAUGGCUGGUGAGCCUAGCUUAAGUCAUUUUGACUUUUAAUGCAGUUGAAGGAUAGAACAGAUCAUUCACAUGGAACAUGGGAAGAAGCAUAUCGAAAUGCUAAGAAGGUUGAUAGGUUAAAGAAUGAUUUGCAUGAAAGGGAUGACGGAGAGCUUGAGCGAACGGGACAACCACUAUGCAUGUAUGAACCUUACUAUGGUGAAGGGUCCUGGCCUUUUCUGCAUCGAAGAUCUCUUUAUCGUCGCAGAUGCAUUUAUGGCCAUACAAAAACAUGAUUUGCGCAUCAGAAUGGGCCAUGGACGAGAAGAUUUGGUUGUUGCAAUUGUUGGAAGUCAGUUUUUGUACAAGGGCAUGUGGUUGGGGCAUGCCAUUGUUUUGCAGGCUUUAUCACCACUUCUAGCAGACUUCCCAUCAGGCAAAGAUAAUUCCAGUGCACAACUACGAAUCAUUGUUCAUAGUGGAGAAUUAACAAAUAACUACAGUGUCGCUCUUGAGGUAUAUAUCGCUAUAUCUUUUCUUCUUUGUUUGUGGAUAAAUAGUUUGAAGUUUCUUAUAUUUGUAUUCUAUUUGGUUAGACCAUGGCUCAUAGCUUGAAAUAUCCAAGAGGUAUUAUCGAGCACAUAGCUGGAGAUUUGAAUACAAAUUCUGUUCUUGCAACAGCGGAUGUUGUAAUAUAUGGAUCCCUCCUUGAAGAGCAGUCUUUUCCAGAUAUUUUGACGAAAGCCAUGUGUUUUGAGAAACCAAUUGUUGCUCCAGAUAUUCCCAUGAUCAGAAAAUAUGUAUGGCAUUUACAUUAACUUCCAAUUUCCAAACAUCUAAGAUGUUAUUACUAUUUUUAAUAUGCAAAUUGAGUUGAAGAUUUUUUCUUGCCAUGUUUUUCUAAAAUGUUUUGUCAACAUCAACUAGGUUGAUGACAGGGUGAAUGGCUACCUUUUCCCGAAGGACAGUAGUAGACUUCUGAGACAAAUUGUAUCGGAAGUGAUAUCAAACGGGAAAAUAUCACCACAGGCUCGUCACAUUGCCUCAAUAGGGAGAAGCACUGCAAAGAACCUUAUGGUUUCAGAAGCAAUUGAGGAAUAUGCAUCCUUAAUUCAGAAUAUUCUUCGGUUUCCAUCAGAGGUUGUUCCUCCUAAGGCUGUUUCAGAAAUAUCCCCCAAUAUAAAAGAACAAUGGCAGUGGCAUUUGUUUGAAGCAGAUCCAAAAUUAACAUAUGAAAAUAAGACAACAAGAAGUCACACUUUUUUAGAUAAAUAUGAGGACAAGUGGAAUCUUUCUCAAAAUAAUAGAUCCACUAUUAUUGUUUCAUCUAAUGAUUCAUUUGUAUAUAGCAUAUGGGAAGAAGAGAAAUUAAUUCAGAUGGCUAUCACAACAAAAAGGAGAGAGGAUGAAGAGGUAAGAUUAGGGGUUGUUCUAAUUUAUGGAAUUAGGGCAUCGAGUUUCUCUUGACUUCCAUUUGCAUGGCUGGUGAGCCUAGCUUAAGUCAUUUUGACUUUUAAUGCAGUUGAAGGAUAGAACAGAUCAUUCACAUGGAACAUGGGAAGAAGCAUAUCGAAAUGCUAAGAAGGUUGAUAGGUUAAAGAAUGAUUUGCAUGAAAGGGAUGACGGAGAGCUUGAGCGAACGGGACAACCACUAUGCAUGUAUGAACCUUACUAUGGUGAAGGGUCCUGGCCUUUUCUGCAUCGAAGAUCUCUUUAUCGUGGAGUUAGCCUGGUAAGCUGUGUUUGUAUGUCAAAAUCAUGGUUUUCACUUGUCAGUGCACAUGAUAGGAAAUGUUCUUAUAUAAUAGUAUAAAUGUUUGUUACAAAUUGUGUUGAUGUUAUUCAAUGUGUUCUCAUUUUUUGCUGUGGCCUAUGGCUAUCUAUUUUUUAACAUUUGGUGUUGUUUGUUCUUGUUGUGCUAAUUCGUUCGGGUUCUCAUGCUCUGGUUUUCUCUCUCUAGUUUGGUAUGCUACAUACAAUGCCUCAAAUCUUCUGUAGUAGUUGAUUUCAAUCUGACACAACGGGUGACUGGAUGUUUUCAGUCCACUAAAGGUCGAAGACCGGGAAGAGAUGAUGUUGAUGCACCGUCUCGUCUCCCACUGCUUACCAACACUUACUAUCGAGAUGUGCUUGGUGAAUAUGGAGCCUUCUUUGCAAUUGCAAACAUAAUUGACCGUUUACACAAAAAUGCCUGGGUUGGAUUUCAGUCUUGGAGAGCAACAGCAAGGAAGGUAUACGAUUCUUUUUCGUACCUCAUUUCUCUGAAGAUAUACCUCCUAAUACACUUUUCAUCUCUGAAAAUAGAUACUGGUCUUAAUAAAUUCGUUAUUUUUAUCCUUGUCAAUCAGGUUAGGUUAGAUUCUUAGAAAGUUGUGAUGCUGAUUUAUAUUAUGUUUUCCCCUUCAACUUAUAUAUAUAGAUACUGAAGUUAUCGGUGACAUGGGAAGUUAUUUUAGGCUUAAGGAUGAAGAUUCUUUCUCUAAUUAGAGAUUUUGAUUAGAAAUUGUGACCAUAAGGAUUAUGGAUGGAAAAUGAUCUUGUGUGUACUAAACCUUCAGUUGUGCAGCUUCUUUUCUCACCUUUUUUAAUUAGUGGUGUCAAUUGUGCAUAAAGGCUGAAAUGCAGGAAAAUGACUUAAGUGGAAACAAUCAAUUAAAUUUCUUGUGUUCUUCUUGUUCUGGGUUAUUUGACAUUUAGCUUGGGGUUUUAACAGGCAUCCUUAUCCAGAACUGCUGAAAAUGCAUUAUUAGGUGCUAUCCAAUCCAAAAAGUUUGGGGAUGCACUUUAUUUUUGGGUGCGCAUGGAUACGGAUCCUCGAAACCCUUUGCGGAAGGACUUUUGGUCAUUUUGUGAUACCAUAAAUGCUGGAAAUUGCAAGUAAGAUCUAUUAAAGCCAUUCUGUUCUUUUUCUUGAGUAUAUUUGUAUAUGGAAGUUUGCUUUUACCCUUGUUUUGCUUCUUCUUAUACAAUUUUCAAUAUGUAUCCUGAUUUUCUUUAUGAAUGUGUUUGAUUGAAGGUUUGCUUUCUCAGAAGCCAUGAGGAGGAUGUAUGGGUUAAAAGAUGAUAUGCAUUCUUUGCCGCCUAUGCCUAUAGAUGGCGACACCUGGUCUGUCAUGCAGAGUUGGACUCUGCCUACAAGAUCCUUUUUAGAAUUUGUAAUGUUCUCCAGGUAUGCUAGCUUUCAUUAAUGGAGAACAUUGAUUGAAUAAGAAACUCAUUUUCUCGAUUAAGAAAAUUAUUCUCUUGUAAGUUUGUUAAAUAACUGAAGUAAGCUAUCAUACGUGCAGAAUGUUUGUCGAUGCAUUGGAUAUGCAGAUGUAUGAUGAGCACCAUUCAACCGGACACUGCCCUUUGAGUUUGUCAAAAGUAAUUUAUUCCUCAAAAAAUUCGUAUUUUUUGGUCUUCUUAUCCAUUUUCUCCUCGCUGCUUAUUUUUCGCGACUUAUCUGAAUGCAUGAAUAAAUAUGCAAAUUGCAGGAUAAGCAUUGCUAUUCAAGGCUUCUCGAGCUACUAGUAAAUGUGUGGGCAUACCACAGUGCAAGGAGGAUGGUGUAUGUGAACCCUGAAACGGGUGUAAUGCAGGAACAACACAAGUUCAAGAGCCGUAGGGGUAAAAUGUGGAUCAAAUGGUUCUCAUACAGCAUACUUAAGAGCAUGGAUGAGGAUUUGGCGGAGUUGUCAGAUUCCAGAGAUCCUAACAGGCAUUGGUUGUGGCCAUUAACAGGUGAAGUAUUUUGGCAAGGUUUAUAUGAGAGAGAGAGAAAUUUAAGGCAGAAGCAGAGGGAAAAGAGGAAGCAAAAUAGUUUAGAGAAACAAGAUAGAAUGAGGAGGCGUCACCGUCAACAAGUAAUAGGGAAAUACGUUAAGCCCCCGCCCGAAGGGGAAGAAAGCUCUAAUUCAACUUUGCUUGCAGCAAAAGCAUCAAGAUCUACUAUAAACACCACUCUUAAGUAGAUCCUGAUAAUUCUUUUCUUUUGUAAUUCUUAUCGAUUUUUUGUGAUUUUCAUUCAGAAAGAAUGCACACUUAAUUGGGGGUCUUGUGUGUAAAAAUUGCAUCCUUUUAGUCAUUGGUGCUAAUAUGUAAAGUAGUCUAAUUUGUUUAGUUCUAUUUUUUGCUUCUGUAUUUCCAUUCUUUCAGGAUAAUAGAUUGGUUUAGAGGAAAGAGUUGUGGGAAGUUGUAAUCUUGAUAGUACUUGUCAAUUUGAGUGAAAUUAACUUGUAGCAAUGUAUUCCACGUGCAACUAUUCAAAAAGCAGUUUUAUCCAUGGCUUAUAUAAAGUUCUAAUUUAUCUUGUGGUAAAUUCCUAUACUAUCCAUUCUUUGUAAUUUAUAAUCUUUCUAAUAUCUAAUUUAUAAAGUUCUAAUUUGCACUAGUCAUACAAUAAUGGAUAUCCCAGUUAAGUAUUACUUGACUUUUCCCUACAAAGUUGAAGAAAGUACCACUGAGUUUCUACACUUCUCCUAGUCGGUUUAACAUAUAUUGUAUCAUUUUCCCUGAAAUAGAACUUGCUAGUAGUAUGGGGAAGAAACUUUCAAUUCUUUCCUUACUGAUUUGGCAUCUGGUUUCUAAUGCACAAUCUGGAAUUGUUACAUACUGGGGCCAAGAUAAAAAUGAGGGCACAUUAACAGAAGCAUGCAACUCUCAGACUCAACUGCAUCCAUUCUAAUUGCCAGAGUGUGAGCAUAGGCAUCAGAAUUAGUCACAAAAACAUUAAAGUCAUGCUAUCAAUUAGAGGCUAUGUUGGGAGCUGUAAUGAUGACAAUAAAGUCUAUAUGAGAUUAAUCCAGAUGGAUGUUCUCUAUACCCAAAUUUAUCAUGUCAGUGUAAUAGCUAGGCUAAAUAAGUUUUUUCUUAAAAACUCAAAUCUUAAAGUAUAAUUAAAUAUAUUUUUAACAAGUCUAAACAUGUACUUAUUGAAUAAAUCAAACCUAUCAUGACUAUAAACAGUGACAACCAACAAACACAUUGUUGUGAUGCUACCAGCUCUAUAUGCCUGUACAAGGAAAAAGAUUAAGAACAAUGUUAACAUAAUCUAUAAUACUCAUACUCAUAUUAUUAUAGUUUAAUAUUUAUUUAAUUGAGUCUCAUUGUUACUGAUCCAGAUUACAUCCCAAAGGGAAAUUACAAAGGACAAAAUGGAACAAGCUUGCUACUUAAAUUUGGGUCUUAAUAGCUGAACUAUACCCUUGAUCAUAAAACUUAGACCAAAGCAUAACACCACCAUACUUAGGAUAAUUCUUAAUAAAUGGUAAUACUUGUGCCUUAAGCACCUCAGGUGGAAUAUACCCACUCCCAGAUGCAUUUUUUGCUGCUGGCAACCCUAAGAAAAUUUUACCACCUUUACUCACAAUCCACUUUUUCCAAUAGCUUUUAAGAUUCUCAGCAUUUCUAUUAUAUUGACACGGAGGGUUGUUAUAGAAUUGGACCCAAACAUAGUCAAAUAAACCAGUUUCAAUAGCACUGUUGAGCCAUUUAUCUGGUAUGGGACACUGUGGUGCUGCACUUAGAUAUAUCUUGUUCCCUUUGACAUUAUAACCUGAUAUUGCUUUUGCAAGUUCAUCCCAGUGUUGUGUUGAGCCUGUAACUAUAGCAAAGUCAAUGCCAUUCAAAAUUGCAUUGCCUAGAGGGCGUUUAUUUGAUGUGCCACCUAGAAAGUUGUUCCAUAAAUAUUUUGCAAAUGCCCUGCAAUUAUAUCAAGCAACAUUUGAUUCUUAACAAAAAUUGAAGGCAAAGAGAAACAUCAUUUAUAUACUCAUGGGUCUUCAUAUGUACCAUAAAAUGUGAAACUUUAUACUUGUUUCAACUUAGUAUAGCAAAAAUAAAUUGUUUCAACUUAAAACUUGUGUUAGGCCUAAAUACUUAAAAUAUGAGGGAAAAAAUGUAUUCACCGACAAUGUAUGUGUUUUAUACAUUGUCCAUGUAUCAUCCAUCAUUUAUGUUUAAUUAUUAUUGACUUUUUGAAAAAGAAAUACAAAUAAACGACGAAUGAUGUAUAAAUGAGGUAAAAAUACUUUCCUGGCAUCAGCAGAAGAAGAAAGGUCAUGGUUCCCUACACUUCCUCCGAUGGAAAGCAUCACUUUGAUACCAAGUUUCUGACAAAUGUUAAUCUGAUUACUCAGAAAACUGCAUCCAUUAUUGGAUGCAUUACAAUGAGAACCUAGAUUAAGCGUUGGACUAUUUCCAUUCCCAAAUGAUGAUAGAAAAGCUAUGUUCACAAUGGCAUAGUUGCCAGUGUUACAUGCAGCAACAAGACUACCCUCUUCUCCAUUCUGACCCCAGUAAAUAGAAAUAACACCUGCAUGAGAAGCAUUGAACAUAGACAAAAAGAGCAUAAGUGCUAGUGGGGUUAGUAUUUUAGGUGCCAUAGUAUAGAUAGAACUAGUUAGUUGCUUGCCUUCAAUUAAGUAUGGGCUCAUCUAUUUAUAUUGUUAGGCUGUGGAAAAAACAUUGACUUAAUUGGAUUUUUGUUCCUCACUUAUUAUGAUUGUUUGAUUUAAAUUUUUCCAUUUUUUGCAUAUGAUUUUUAAUUCUUCAACUUUUCAACAUGUGAAUCUUUAUUCCCUCUAUCCAUCCCAUUAGUUAAACAAGGAAAAGGAAACUUGCUUAUACAAAGAAGAAGGAUUAUAUAUCUCAAAAAAAUUUAGUCUUAGUAUCCAAGUCAAUUAUAUAUUACUAAUAAUAAAGGAUUUAACGUGAAUACACAAAAGUGUAAGUGUUUUUUAUAUUGUCAAAAAAUCAUCUAUCAUUCAUAUAUUAACUAUUAUUUACUAUCAAACAAACAAAAGUAAUACGAAUCAAUGGUGGAGAUUGCUAACAGUGUAAAAAAUAUUACACUGACAAUACAUAGAUUUUAAACUCAAUAAUAAAAGAGAAAUUAUUUUAAGAUUUUAUGGUUUUUUUAAUUAGCUGGCACAUUUUGAUUAGAUUGAGAUACUAAAUGUUAAGACAAGUGAUCUUUAUUCACUUAUAUGAUACUCAUUCCUUUAGAAACUCUUAAUUUUUUAAUUUUUUAUGUUAUUUUAUAUUUCUUCAUGUUUUUUAAACUCAAUACUAAAUGUUAGGACAAGUUAUCUUCAUUCGUUUAGAAACUCUUAAUCUUUUAAUUUUUAAUGUUAUUUUAUAUUUCUUCAUGUUUUUUAAACUCAAUACAUAUUUAUACUUUAUUCUUCAAUUAUACAUCCUUAUUUAUCAUUCUUCUUUUACACUUUCUCUAUUUCUUUUAAUCAAAUUUUCAAUGUGCAUUAAAAGACUUUAUUUUAAUUAAAUUUUAUUCAACUUUUACAUUAUUUAUUGAUGCAAUGUCAAGCUUGUUGCUUAAUUCAAAUCCUGACAACAACAUCUUUACUUGUAGGGGUAAAAUUCUAUACAUCUACUUUCCAUAUAUCUUACUAAGUGGAAGCCUUGUACAUUUCAGCCACCUGAUACAGGAGUUGCCACUUAGGUGCAAUUUGAUAGAUAUAAGUAAGUUUUGUGACCUGAGAAUGAUUACUAAUGAUAAAUAAGUAGAGAGUUACAAAAGAACCAAAAUUGCAUGAUUCAGAAAAAAAAAUGCAAUUAAGACAAAAAUCUGUAUGGGAUUGCUUCCUGGUCUUUACGUUGGGGGAAGACGUAAAAAAAGGUUUCAGAAAGUGAUAGAGUGUGAACAAGCUAGGAUCCUGUGUUCUUUAAUGGUGCCAAAUUCAAUGGACCGACCAUAAUUUGUUUUGACUGAAAUGGGUAUAGCAUGGGUUCAUCUAUUUACAGUCUUCACGUCUUUUGGAAGAAAAUUGUAACAACUCGGGUUAGUCUAUUAAUGGUUUUAAGGGAAACAUAAUCUGCAUCUACUUGGUGGGGACGUUUAAAUGAUGCAAAAUUAUUUGCUGAUUUUGCUCAACGUUGCGUGUUAAAUGGGUUGAAAGACUUUACCCAUAAAUGGGUUGAAGAAUUUACGGUGAGAUGGUAAUCAGACAAUAAGGAAAGUUGAGAAGAUUUGUUUGGAGAAAAGUAGAGGUUGGAAUAUUAUAACCAAAUAGCUCUUCAAAAUAUUACGAACAUUAUCAUUUAUAUACGGUAGUGUGUACUGGUGAAUAUUGCAUGAUACUACAUAUUCAAUUUUUAUAUAUUUUAUUUUUUAGAGUUAGAAUGUAUUUGUUAUGUUCGAUGUACUUUAUAUUAUAUUUUUUGUAUUUAUGAUAAUGUUCAAUUUAAGGUGAAAUAUGUGGUUAAUUAAUAUGUUGAUGGUGGUUGCUUGCAAUUAUAUGAUUUUUGUAAAAAUUAAAUAAUGUUAAGGGCAAAACAUGAAGUGAAAAUUACACCAUGAUAAAAAUUAUACUAUGUUUAAGAAUAAUGAUUCUCCAUGAAUUAUGGUGAAUUCAAAGACAUCACUUUUCAUGAUUUUGUGUGAAAUUCUUAUAAAUAAAUGAUAAUGGUCCCGAAAUAUAAAAUAAACGUAAUCGAUCUAGGCUUCAGUUCUAUAGUACUUAUUAAUGAUUUGAGAUGAAUGAACUUUAUCUAUACUUCUAUAUUAUGUAUGAAGACAUCUAGUAUCUACAUAAUAAUUUUUAUGACAAUUAUCGUUUAAUUUGGUUAAUUACAAUAAUGACCCUAACAUAUUUAAAAAUUGUAUAUGUGACCCAAAAUCUCAUUGGCUAUAUAUAAUCUUACAAAUGUGUUGAAUUUUAUGGUCUUAAAAUUUUUAUCAUUAUAAAUUAUAGACAUAUUAUUAUCUCGUCCACUAAUUAUAUUAAUAUAUAGAACCAGAACUACUUUCAUUAUAUUAAUAAUGACUAAACUCAUCUAUCAUUACUAAUAUUAAUGCAAUCAAAUAGCAUGAAGUAAACAUGAAAUGUCAAACAUGAAAAUUACAUGGCUAUACAUGCAUGUUGAUUUUCAAAUGGUUCUUUUUUCUUUAUAAGAUCCCCAUAAAUAAAUUUUAGAGGGAAACUAAACCAUAAACAUAAUUAUGCAGAUAAAUAUAUCUACAAAUAUGUUUAUACUGAAAAAACACUCAAAUACAAACUCUUAAUGGACCAAUAUGAGCAAUGUGCUUCUCAAAGACCAUAGAUGAUAAAUCUUUAUUAAAAUAAAAUAGAAUUUGUGUUAAUGUACUUUGUAAAUAUUUGACUACUUUGAACUCUUUCUUUAAGUGGGACAUAACAAAAGUAAUGGAAGAAGCCAAGUGACAAUUUUGUAGCCAUAUCCCACAAUUGAAUCCUUCAUAUAACCUAUAAACACCAUUAACCUAAUGGAAGAAGCUAUAAGUGUUUGCUUAGAACUUUCCGAAACAAUUCAUCAACUUUAAACUGUAUUGCUAUCUUAAAAAAAAGGUAAAUAAAUAAUAAUAACAUCUAAUGACCUCUAACUAAAUCCCUUUUAUUUAUGUCAGAAUGCAAUUUCUUGUUCUAUAUGAGUAUUGUAUAACUUAUUUGACUAUUUUCCAAUAAUUUAUCAUUAUUUAAUUAAAUAUUUAAAUUCUAAUCAAGUACACAACAUUUAAAGUGUACAAAUUAUAUUUACAUUAGACUUCCUUAUUCAACACAUAAAGAAUCUAAUGUGAGCCCCUAAAUAUUUAAAUAAAAUUGAGUUGCUCUUAAAUGUUUAAAGCUACUUUAAAUAACAUUUAGAAAAUGAAAGUAUUUUUUAAUAAAUCACUUAUCAAUUUUUCCCUUAAAUAUUUAAAGAAAUUACAUUAGAGCCUUUAAUGAGAUAAAUUAUUUUUUAUUCAGAAUUUUUUGUAAUUAAUAAAUUAUUUUUCUGCUGGAUUUUUUAUAAUGUAUAUAUUAUUAUUACAUUUGAUUGCUAAAUGAAUGUGUAAAAUAUUUUCAUAUAUAUUUUAACGAUAUAUAUAUCAAUAAUGAGAGAAUAUUAUAAAUUUAUGUAAGUUAAUUACAUUUUUGGAAAAAUAUUGCAAAAAAUAAAAUAAAAAACAAACAAAUAAAAUAUUAGAUAUCUAAUUAUAACUAAAAUAUAAAAAUAAAUGAUUAUUUUAUAUCUAUAUAUUUAACUACUCAAAUUAAUAAAUAACUAAAUAAAUAGCGUAUGCAAUUUUUAAUCAUUUUUUAAAAUUCAGCUAGUUACAAAGUCCAUUUUACUGAAUAUUUCUAGUUUAAUAAGCUACCUGUAGAGUUAUAAGUUUUCAUCUACUUUCAUGUCUAUAAGCUACAAGCACACAAUUACAAGAUAAUUUUUUCAAAUUAAACCAUUGUACCCCUAAAUGCUUCAUUUUAUCUUUAGCGACUUCCAUUUUUUAAAUCAAUGAAUUGAUCCUUUCUAAAGUACAAUGACUCAUGCAUCUAAAAAUAAAUAUAAUGUCUCAAUUCUUGAAGUUUGUAACAUGUAGGACAAAAGUAUAAUAAAUAUUUGUUGAUGUCAUAAAAGCAGAUGAAGUAAUAGAAUAAAAAACAAAUCUUACUCCAAUUGUUCCAACAAUUAAACUUAUAAUCAACUUUAACACAUAAAUGUAAAUAAUAGUGGGUCCAACACAAGUUGUUUAGCAUAAAAUUAAUAGUUUGUCUCUGAAUAAAAAUAUUAACUUUAUAAGAAUACACAUCAAUGUAAUAAUCUAAUAUUGAUAAUGAAUAGUGAAAAAUAAUAUGUCUUUUUUAAAUUGAAUUAGUUUUCAAAUGGAAAAAAUGAAAUAACAGUUAAUUAUCAAAUAUUUAUUACGAUUGUUAUCUUUGAAAUUUUGACUAAAUAAUAAUCCAUCUAUCAAUUUAAUUUAUACAUGAAAGAUUAAUUUGGUAACAUGAUGCUUCAACUAAAUUUCUUUAGAAUAUCAGACAUCAUACGAACUGAAGCACCAAAUUUGAAUCUGUAUGAAACAAAGAGUUCCAAAUUCCAAUGAGAGUAGAGGAAAAGAGUAGAAACCGCGAUUCUAAUGCCAACAAUGAAAAAUCUGUAAGAUUGUGUUAUAUCCGACCACUAACAAUAAAAUUUUAACUGAAUUACAAGAAACUUAACUGAAACCUAAAACAUGAAAUUGUUUAAAAAUUAAAGGACAAAAUCAAGUUGAUUAUGAGAAAAUAAAAUAUACACGGACUACAAAAAUAUUUUUAAAUUGUUAGCACAUUACGUUAAUUAUUACUUACUCUUAAAUA